rnacentral:lncRNA from 1 species
CUACAAAAACUUGACCCACAAAAGCUUGACCCACAAAAGUUUCACUUACAAAAGCUUGACCCACAAAAGCUUAACCCACAAAAACUUCACCUACAAAAGCUUCACCCACAAAAACUUCACCCACAAAAGCUUGACCCACAAAAGCUUUACCUACAAAGCUUCAACACAAAAGCUUCACCUACAAAAGCUUCACACUAUCUUGAUCAAGAUAGUGUGAAGCAAAAUCAAUUCAUGGUGCCCAAAAAAGCUUCAACCUCAAAGUUUCACCUACAAACUUCAACACCAAAGCUUCAACUACAAAGCUUUAAUAUAUAUAUAUUUUUUUUUUUUUGAAAUUCGAAAAUUCGAAAAAAAAAAUCGAAAAAAAAAUUACCUAGGCUUCAUCUUCUUUGGGCCUAACAAUUUUCAUAACAAAUAUAUAUGAAGAAGGAGUUUUGGGCUACCACUUAGAAAGGAAAUGCCUCAUUCGUCAACUCCCUCGACCAGAGACCUGGGGGACUCCUACCAUAUGCUACUGCACCUUGAUACUCGAAAGUCUCAUGACCACUCAGUGACUUGGAUUUUUCAAGUCUCCAAACGAGAAGUUUUCCUCACUCGGGAAAUUAAGGGAGCAUUACCUCAACCUACAUGCUUCACUCACAAAGCUUCACCAUACAAGCUUCAACAAAAGGAAAAAUUCAAAGAACUUAGUGAAGAAGGCCUUGGUGUAUUUAACACAAUACGUUGAAAUGAAGCAAAGCUUGUUUAUUGAUAUCUCCGAUAAGUUACAAAUAUGUACAUAUACAUGAAUCAAAAUAAACAAACAAGAGGGAGCCUUCACAAAUGUUACUCAGGAGAAGUCUCAGCAGUCGGUAGAGCCCCAGAAAGAGGAGGCACCAGAGGGUGAUUAUUCAGAACCUCAGUACUAGGUAGAACCCCAGAAAGAGGAGCCACCAAAGGUUGAUCAUUUAGAGCUUCAUUACGUGGUAUAGCCCCAUAAGACGAAGGCAAUAAAUGCCUUUGGAACAAACCCACAAACCUUUGAUGAUCAAGUAAAAUCUGACCAUCAGAUUCCUGCAGCUGGUUGAGCUUCCUCUUCAUGUUUGUAGCAUAGUCAUGUGCGAGCCUGUGCAACUGUUUAUUCUCAUGCUUGAGCCCUCUGAUCUCAUGUUUGAGACUUGUCACUUCAUCUGCCAAUGAUUCAACUUUGCGGGUUCGAGCAAAUAGGCGUUGGGCCAUAUUAGACACAGAACCUGCACACUGAACACUGAGAGCCAGAUAAUCCUUAACAGCCAACUCAUCAGACCGUUUGGAAAGUAGUCUGUUAUCUUUGGGAGUGAGAAGGUUCCUGGCCACCACCGCAGCGGUCAUAUCAUUCUUCAUCACAGAGUCCCAACGGUAAGAGGACCAGUAGGGGAUAAAAAGGAUGGGCGCCAUAUGUUGUCUUGAGAAGGCAUGACUGCCUCUUCACCAAAGUUUAAGUCAAAACGACGGUCGGAUAGGCCAGACAUUCUCAGAAAUGAUGAAGAAGAAAUGAGGUGCAGUAAAUCUCUGAAAUAAGGGAAAAAUUCCUACAAGCAAUAACUCUCUGAAUGUACUCCUUGCACACAAUUGGUGCCUUUAGAAAAGAAAGGGCAAUAGGGUCGUUGGUUCAAAAAUCGAAAAGGCACCACUUUCUGGAUUUCGAAGAGGCACCACUCUCCGGAUUUCGAAGAGGCACCACUUUCCACACGCAACAUCAACUCAUCGGGUACCACAGAUAACUUUGCCAAAGAUCUCUAACAAAGUUUAGACACAUAAAUUUUGAAGAUCCAGCUACCCUACUAUUACCCAUAAGGGUAAAGGAACAACACCACUGCUUGAUAACUAGAAAGUCCUAAUGUAUGUCAACCUCCGUGCUUCGUGGCAAGGCAGACUAGCAAAAAUGCCCAAUCUUUACUCACAUUCGAGAAAAUAAUCCCAACAGGAUUACUUUCUCAAAAAUCGAAGAGACACUGCUCUCCGAAUCUCAAGAGUCAGACUCCCAACAUGAUUGCUUUCUCAAAAAUCGAAGAGACACCGUUCUCUGAAUCUCGAGAGCCAGAUCCCCGACAGGAUUGCUUGUUCGAAAAUCGAAGAGGCACCGCUCUCUGAACUUUGAGAGCCAGAUUUCCUUGGAUAGAGCUUGUAUGCAAUCUUCACACACAAUAUCAGCUUUCCAGAUACCACAGACAACUUUUUCAAAGCGCUCUGACAAAGUUAAAACAUGUGAAGCUUGCAGCUCCCACUACAUUGCUAUGACCAAUAAGGGUAAAGGAAUAACAUUAUUACUUGCUCAAAAAUCGAAAAGGUACCGCCCUCCGAAUCUCGAGAGCCAGACUCCCAACAGGAUUACUUUCUCAAAAAUCGAAGAGGCACCGCUCUCUGAAUCUCAAGAGUCAGACUCCCAACAUGAUUGCUUUCUAAAAAAUUGAAGAGGCACCGCUUUCCGAAUCUCGAGAGCCAGAUCCCUGACAGGAUUGCUUGUUCGAAAACCGAAGAGGCAUCGCUCUCUGAACUUUGAGAGCCAGAUUUCCUUGGAUAAAGCUUGUCUGCAAUCUUCACACGCAACAUCAGUUUUCCAGAUACCACAUGCCACUUUUUCAAAGUGCUCUGACAAAGUUGAAACACGUGAAGCUUGCAGCUCUCACUACAUUGCUACGACCAAGAAGGGUAAAAGAAUAGCACUACUACUUGUUGUUAGGGAGACUUCUAUAUAUGUCGACCUCCAUCCUCCACAGCCAGGCAAACCUGCAAAUAAAAAAAAAUGCUCAACUUUUCUUCACAUCCUAGAGGGCACUCUCAGCAGAGUCUCUCGAAAUACUCAGCUUCUUUCCUCCCGAUAAUACCUCUGCAAACAAGCCACACCAGAGCAAUGGUAUCCUAUAUUAUCAGGGUUAAAAGCAAGAGUAUCCCAUAUCAAGCUUUUUCCCUGUCUUUUCCUUUGGCCUUGUUCUUACCUGCAAGACAAGGAGAAAAAGAGCAAUCAGUCAACACUUGGAAUCAAGCUUCCAGUCAGGAACUGACUGCCUGGAACCUUUUGCUUGAUUACUUACCUAACAUUGCUCUUGAGUACUCAUCUUCAACAUCUUAUGCUUCUAGAGAAGAUACCACAUCUGUCUGAGGAACAGAUGGGGCAAGUGAGAAGGAUACAAGGAAACAUGUGGAGACAAGCGUAACAGAACACGUGUCGAUACAUCCACUACUUUGUCAACAGCAAAAGUAUCCCAUAUCAUUAGGGUCGAACGUACUUUAGAUUUGAUGGACUUGUUUUGACCCUUAAAUUCUUGAGUCGGCCUUAUACUCUGGAGGGAACCAGAAAACCCUCCAGCCCAGUUCAAGAAUAAGCCUGUGGAAAGUUACUUCUUCAAAAGCAAAAGUAUCUCAUAUCAUAUCUUCUCCAUUUGCUUCUCCUUAUCCUUGGUGCUAUUUACGACACAAUGAGAAUGAGAACAAUCAACCGAAUGCCGAAAUCGAACCUCCGAUCCAGGUUGCUUGCUUGGAAGUCUGAUUGCUUACCUUGUCUGUUACCUCAUUCGGCAAAUCUCCUAGCUCGGCGACUUGGGGGACUCCUACUAUAGGGUUUGUAUCACACUUGACCAAGCCCGAAACUACAAGUAAGCUUCAAGUGAAAUUGAUACAUUACCUUGUGCAUCUUCAUCGGUUAAAGAUACCACCCCUGGAUGGAGGAAAAGUACUUCCAGAGAAGAUGCCACAUCUACAUAUGAGACAGAUAAAGCAAGUAAAAAUGAUACCACACUUCGGUACUUAGAAGUUUCGUGAUUACUCAAUGGCUUGGAUCUUGCAAGUCCCCAACCAAGGAGUUUCCCUCACUCGGAAACUUAGGGGAGCACUGUUUGUACCAUACUUGACCAAUCCCGAAACUACUGAGCACCGGUCAACGUUAUACCAUCAAUGACCCAGAAGAGUUUCCCUCCAACCAUGAGGCCAAUCAUAGCGCGACACGUGUCGACAUCAGAAGCCAAUCAUAUCGCGACACGUGUCAACAUCAGAAGCCAAUCACAACACGACACGUGUCAAUGUCAGAAUGAAACUAGAAACUCUCUUCUAUAAAUAGAGAUCAUUCUCUCACAAUAUUUCCUAAUGUCAUUUGUACUAAAUCAUUCACUAGUACUCACUAAAGGAGAGCUUGAACCUAUGUACUUGUGUAAACCCUUCACAAUUAAUGAGAACUCAUCUACUCCGUUGACGUAGCCAAUCUGGGUGAACCACGUACAUCUUGUGUUUGCUUCUCUGUCCCUAUCCAUUUACAUACUUAUUUACACUAGUGACCGGAGCAAUCUAACGAAGGUCACAAAAACAUUUUCUGUUGUACCAAAGUCUUCACUGAUUUUGUGCAUCAACAAAAUAUAUUAGGAUAAAUGAAAUGAAAAUGAAAUUUAUAAUGAAAUAAAAUUAAUACAUUAAAAUUUAAGAAGAAAAAGAGAAAUAAUUAAAAAAAAUCAAAAUAUAAUUAAUAAAUGAGGUUAUUAAUGUAUCAAGUGUCACAUCCCACCUCGAGCCCCCACUACAUCCUGGGCUCGACUCCACCGUAACACUAUGCUUUGGGCCCCGACCACGCUCUCACGGUUUUGUUUUUGGGAAUUCACACGAGAACUUCCUAGUAGAUCAUCCAUCCUGGGAUCGCUCUCGCGCGAACUUGCUUAACUUCAGAGUUCCGAUAAAACCUGAAACCAAAAGUUCCCAAAAGGUCUCAUGCUAGGUAGAGAUAAGAAUAUACACAUAAUGAUUACAUAAUCCACUCCCCUGGGAGAUGUGAGAUGUUACAUCAAAGGACUAAAAUUAAAUUUUGAUCUUACUCAUGGUUUUAAUCUAAAAGUCAUCUUUGCCAAGGAUUAAAAUGAAGUUUUCUAUUCAUAAUUUAUAGAAUAAAUAAUAAUACAAAUUACAAUUGUCCACAAUGCGUUUUUCAUAUUUUGAAAACGCUGCAUUAUAAUUUCAUUUUCAAUGGAAGAAAAAACAUUGCUCUCAAUAUAAAUUAUCACGAUAUCACUCAAUCAUUGAUCUCUCAUUUGGUUACAAUGAAUUUUCACAAUUUUCAAAGUGAAAAAGGCUCUUUCUGCUGAAGCAAUAGCAAUCAGUAGAAUCAAAGUCAAUAUAUUAGCAAUACACAUAAUAUACUCUAUUCCUCCCCAUUUUUUUUGCAAGACUACCGAUUUCUUUCAAUUAAGAAAAUUAACUAUUUAAAAGCAUAUCAAGAAUAUAAUGCUUAAGUUGAUAUUUUUUUUUUUUUUUUAAAUUUGAGAACGAGAACUCCUGUUUGAGGCAUCAAACAAUUGGAGGUCAUGUAUGAAAGACAACUCUAACCUUCAAGGGAUAACACUCAAGUCAUCUAUAGAGAUCAUCAGAAUUUGUAGGUCAACUAAACCCACUUGCUUCAUAAUGGAUCCGUCAAUAAAUAUUUGAUACAUCAAAUAUCAUAAUAUAAAUAAUUUAAUAUAAAAAAAUAUUUAACUAUUUAUGUUAUAAUACUCUGUAUGUCAAGCCGUUUUUUCGACAUGCUUAAAAAUUUAUGUGAGGCUGGGUCAGCUCGAUAAAAGCCUGACUCGGCGAGCGUGACCCAAUGCGCACCACUUUCAUAGCUGGCAUUUAGGAUAAGGUUAAAUGGGACACUUGAGCCACGCUUUUACCAAAUCACCAUAAACCUUUUCACUUUUUAUCAAUAUUGCCCCUUUUAUAGGGGUUUUUUUUUUCUUUUGUUUUUUUCCUUCAAUUGAUUGUAUGUUUAUUAUUAAGAAUAAGUGCAAAGUAUUGACAUUUUAUUCCCUUAAUCUCUAAUUCAGAUGCUUAACAGGGAAGUUACCUAAGAUGAUAUCUUGUAUUGUUUUUUAUUCGAUAUUAAUACCUUAGUUUCUCAACUAGGGGAGGUGAAGUUUCUGUUUAUUCAAUGCAGUGCAACAUUGUUGCGCACGAGGUGUCUUCACAUGGUGCUUGCAUGGUGGUUCUUUCUUAUAGGAUGCUCUUGACCCAUAAUUUGUUUUUAAUAUUCUCGCAUAAGAUGUAAACAUUCCAAUUAAAAUUUAGUAAAGUCUAUCCUUUAACAACAAAAAAACAAAAGAAAUGAUUAUGUAUCAUUUUUUUUAUUUCAAGUAAACAUCAUAACACGCGAGAUUUUGCAUGCAAUGAGAUACAAUAAAUAUUCAUAUAAUAAGUAAUUACAUACUGCCGUUGAGAUGCUAAUCGCACUGACAAUAUUUGAAUUAUUGUCUUUCUAAUAUAAUUAGUUUUAUGUGAUAUAUAAAACAAUAAAUGUUUUUUUUUUUUUUUUUUUUUUUUUUAGCGUUUGCAUUUAGAACAUAGAAAAGGACUAAUGCGCAUGCGCUUGUAUUUUUGUAUAGGCAAACAUAUGGUACCGUUGAAUAACAUGAGCUAAAAUUUAGAAACUUGUUUAAAAUGAUGAUUUUGGAAUGGGCACGCGUGUUAGAUCACUUUUGAUCUUGAUAAUAUUUUUAUGUCUUUGUACUCAGAUUCAUUUUGCUUUUUAAUUACAAAAGUUUUUUACAUGAAAAACAAGUAAUGCAAUGAAUGAUAUAGACAGAUAAGGACACCCGAUCUUUAUCUGUAAUUGCACCACAUCAUCAAAUUCUAGAGUCUUAAAAAGGCUAACAAAUACUUCCAUUUCAGGGUAAUUUUGGAAAAGAAAAUGUUCUAGAAUAUGGUUUCGGACGUCGCUUCACACAAUUUUAACUACGUUUGGUAAAAUUUCCCCCAAAAGCAAUGGCAUGCAUGUAAUUAUACCCAAGACGAGGUGCUGUUGUUGUUCAAAAUCAAAGUGGAUAAAAUCAAGCAGACAAGGAUUUCCUCCAACUUUCCCCCCCACUGCCCGAGUACGGAUCCAUCGACACGUGGAGCACUAAAAAUGUCCCCAGCUGGGGGCCACCACAACGAUCUUACCCCGCGCGGGACCCGCGGCCACCAACGCCACCACCAUCCUUAGGCAGCCGUCCACGUCGGCCAACCUCCCCCGAACCGACAGGGAGCACACUCUCGUGACACGCGUAUGUCACGUCAUUUCUAAGUCAAACAAGUGGAAGUCUCCGUGGGCCCGGGUUUAUCCAGACGCCGCGUUUCGUGGGGAGUUUAAAAGAACGGGUUCGGCUUGGUGGGGCGGGAGCUUCUCUCCCAAUCCGAAACCACAAUAGAAGCAUUUUUGCUCACUGUCAUUCAAUGUAAUAUAUGCUUACCAUCCUAUUUAUCAUUAUUAGAUAAGUUUGAAUUUUAAAAUUUAUGUAGUAGAUAAACACAAAUAUUAAACUUCAAAUUCAUCUAAAAAUAAUAAAUAAGAUAAUGAACAAAAAUGCACUCAACCACAAUGGGCCGUGGAUCCACGGGCCAGGUCCACCUACCCGACGUUGAAUGUUCCAGACGUGUCUUUCACGCUAUUGGAUUCCAAAACCCUUAAACAAAUAAUCUCCUUUUUCCUUUUAUUUUAUAUGUUUUUUUAUUUUAUAUAUAUAUAUAUAUAUAUAUUUAUAAAUACUAUUUUUUAUACUUAAAAAAUAUAUAUAUUUGUAUUUUCUUGGCGUCGAUGGUAGAGAGAAGUUGCGUCCAGGCUUUUUAUUUUUUAUUUUUUUAAUUGUCUGUCGUGAGUUGUGUGAUUGGUUUAUCCACAACGGUUUUUCUAUUUUCUUUAAUUAAUUUUUUUUGUGAAGUAUUUAAUGUGUAUAUGAAGCAUGGUGUAAAAUGUAAUAAUAACAUUUCUCUCCCGACAGAGUGAUUAACGAUGGAAGUUAAGGUGAUCCACCAUGUUGAGGGCAAUGUAUUAAAUAUCGAUGAUAUUGGAAAUAUCGGUAGUUAAAAAACACGGAAAUUUCGAUGAAAAUAUCGGGAUAUUAUCGAUAUCGAAAAAAAUUGAAUAAAAACCACGGAAAUUGUAAGAAAAACUUGGAAAUUUUUAUUGAAACUUUGCAGGAUGUUUAUUUAGUCAAUUAUCUAUUAGUUUAUCACAAAAAAUUGGAAGGAAAUGCAUUGCAUGAUAGAUAUAACUGAUUUAAGUUGGUUAUAUAGCGAGCUGGCAAAUAUUGUGAGUGUAGAAAAUAUGUAGUAAUUAAUGAAAGAAGUUUAAACACACCAUAAUCAUUUAUAUAUAAUGAAUUAGUACAAUAUUUUACAUUUUAUACAUUGCAUGAUAAGAUACAUGAGUGACUUAGCAAGGUCUAAAAUAUCGAUGAUAUCGGAAAUAUUUGGUAGUCCAAAAAUACAGAAAUUUCGAUGAAAAUAUCGGGAUAUUAUGGAUAUUUUAGACCAUGGUUGAGGGACAUGUUGAAACAAACGAGUUAAAAAGUCGGGGGCGUUAGGAAAUCCAACGGCUUUCCAUUCCCCACCGUCCCUGCCGUUGAAAAGCAACGGCUGCGUUGCUGCAACAGGGCCACCAUUGUUGGCCAUUCUCCUUUCGUCGCUCGUGUAUUACACACACUUGAUAGAAAAAUAAUAAAAUAGUGGCUCACGUCAAUCUAUCGUUGGCACAUGCACGAACUUGAGAAGUAUGGGCUUUUGAGCGGAAUGUUGGAGAGGGUUUUUUUGGGCUAAACGACAACGUUGUUGCCCUUACCCUUACCUUUAACAUUAUAUAUAUUUAAUUUUAUCAAUUUUUGAUGUGUUGUAUUCUUCAGAAACUUCUAUACAGCUCUCCAAAAGAGCACAGACCCACCUGCAAUUUCAAAUGCUUUGGUUUUUAAUUUGGCCCAACUGAAAGGAAUACCCUUAAAAAAUAGUUUCCAAGGGCUUCUAGCCAACAUCAGUAACUGGCACUUAAAAGUGCAAUGUGAACAGGCCUGCUUAUCAAUGACCCACUUACUGGCCCAACACAUGCGUCGUUGAGUGUCAGCAAUUGCAUACAACUAUUUCUAAUCACGUAACUAGCCAUGAAAUAAAGAGAUGUAGACACGGUUGUGCAACAGAUCUUGCAGUUGAAAAUAACCACCUAAAUUUAGCGUCUCGCAUAUCUAGAUGUUGCCAAAUUGACUAGAACAAUAUACUCUCCACUCUACAUCCCAGUUCGAACCCCCUAUUGUACUAGUUCAAAUUAGAUUAGAAUCUCGCUCGAACAAAACAAAAGAGAUUAUAGUGUGGGAAAUUUGGGUUAUCUAUAUUAUAUAUGACACUAUUCUCGUUGUCCUGCUGAACAAUUUCUUUAUCUGAGACCCAAAAAAAAAAAAAGCACCAGUUCAUCCUCUCACGUCACAAAACCAAAAUGGAGGAUGACUGAAUUUCUGGAUAUCCUUUGCAACCUGUCGCGUUACAAGAUGUACAAUUUGCCCUAUAAAUUCGUCGUGUAAUCUGAAUCAUACAUGGUAAAUCAUCCCUACCUCCAGCGCAGACGCAUGCGGUACACUGAGUGCAUAACUGGAUGUCCUGCUAUUCCUUCUCAAGAAUUCAUAUCCGUAGUUGAUUGCAAAGCUUCGCAUGAAACUAGAUCCUUUCUUUGCAUUCGUGUAUGUGUUCCCAACUAUGUACACUAUUCCAGCUUCCCGAGCUUCCAUUAGCUCCUGCAGUUCCUCCCUUGUGCCCGUGUUGAUCUUUGGACUCUCCGGAACAAUGAAUCUUACCUUCUUCCUUCGUUGAGCCACUGGCGGAGAUCUUAUUUCUAUCUGCCCUGAUGGGCUCAUUUCCACGUUGAUGUUCUCGCUCAUCUGAAUCCCAUCUGCAUGAGUGGAGCGUGUGCCAACGACCGUCAUUUUAUCAUCUUCCUUGCCCGCAUCUUCAGCUGCAACAGAGAAUUCAGUGCUUCCUGAGCGUAUGAACUCUGCUAUGCUGCACAUAAGAUCAUUCUCAAACUCCAUGUCAUCUUUGUGAACAUCGCGAUAUCCAUAUCUCACAAUGCACCUAUAGAGCCGAUACUCCUUUGGGCCAAUUUGACCCACCAGAAACCGUUCCUCGGGUCUAACAUGGGGGACUGGGACGGAUUUGAUGCAGAGGAAAACUAGGACCUGGUGGAAGGCCGGAAGGUUGGUGACAAAGUGGGAGAAGAUUGCUGGAAUUCCGGAUACAAGAUCGGUGUGUAUGAGGCCAAUCCCACGGACUCGUACAAUGCCAAGGCUGGGGCCAAGGCUAAGCAGCCAGUUAAUGGAGACCUUGUUUUGGACUUCAAACUCAUACUUUUUAAUUGUGCCGUAGUGCCAAACGUACAUGACGAAGAAAAAACAGAGAGCAAGAGCAACGGGAACCCAGGCUCCCUCAGGAAACUUUACAAGAGAAGCCGAGAAGUAAAGAGCUUCAAUUGUGCCGAAAAAGACCACGAAGCCAAUUGCAACAAAGACACUCUGCUGCCAGCAUAGGACAAUAACUAGGGACAUUAAGCACGUGGUGACCAGCAUCACCGAGAUAACUGCAAACCCUGUUCGACAUGAAGCUUUAGGUUAAGUAACUUCCACACGAAGGCAUCAACAUAUAGGGAUAGCGAAAAGUUAAAAUCCAGCUGAUAGAUGCAGAAGUAUUAGGGUUUAGGGUUUACUAAUUUCUAAAAUGGAAUAUCAAACAUUAAUGGUUUUUUCAAAUUUGUAAACGAUGCCAUACCUGAAGCAUUACCCAUGCGCUUUGUGUCUCUAAAACCAAUAGUAACAGCCAAACACAACACCAUCAAGAUCCAAUUGAUUUCCGGGAUAUAAACUUGACCAUGGAUUUUGGAUGAUGUAUGGACUAUUUUGACUCUUGGGAAGCAAUCCAGGGCAGAACAUUGCUUGAUGAUUGAGAAAGUUCCAGUGAUGAUAGCUUGGCUUCCUACUACGGCAGCAAGUACAGCUAUUACCAGAACGGGCCAUCUCAAAUUUUCUGAGGAGUGGCGGGGUUUGCUAGAUUAGCUAAGAAGUUGCAUAUUUUUCAAAUCUAGAAUCUUCCUGCUAAACAAAUGAAGGUGUCUACCUGGUACAGAUGGGUAAAAUCCAAUCUGAGAAUUUUUCCCAACAUUGUGAUGUGAAGAUAUGUAGGCAGCUUGUCCCAUAUAUGCUAGAACCAAAGCUGGAUAAACCAAAGAGGUGAACGCAAUCUGCAAAAAUGUGAAUAUUUACCAGGAAAGUAAUCGUUUUGCUAAUUGUACCAGGCUGAAUAAGUGCGGACUGUGUGCUAAAGUUUUACUACUGAAGUGCCGAACCACAUUUAUACAAUCAUUAUCAGUACUGCCAUAUCAACUCUUUUCGGAUAGUGUAACAAGCCGUGCAAAAAUAAGAUACCUGAAUGGACAAUUGUGUAAAGUGUCCAAGAUCAGCAAACAUGGCUUCUGAACCUGGAAAAGUUAAGUUGUGCAUUAGAGAAACAGGUAAACCACUUUGCUUCCGAGGAAAUAUAUACGUGAGUCAAUCCUAUACAUGCAUACUUACCUGUUAUACACAACAUAAUUCCGCCGAGGGACAUCCAGCCCCCUUUCUGAGUUUUCCUUAAAAAUUUGUACAUAUAGUAUGGAGAAAGUGCUUUGUACACACUCGGAUUGAAGUGAAGUAUAUUAUAAACACCGAUCGCACUGAUGCAUAGAAGCCAUAUCAGAACUAUAGGAGCAAACAAGAACCCGACCCUGUGAGUUCCAUAAUGUUGAAGUGCAAACAGGCCAAUCAAAAUGAUGCAUGCAAUUGGAACUUCUACAUCUGCAUAAAGAUUAUCAAAAUUUCAGGAGGAAGUAUAAGGCAAAGCAUUGAUCUUUAUACACCAGAGUGAAAUCAAACUGUCCACUCAAUUACACAACGAGAUUUAUGGAGGCCGACAAUUAAGGAAAAAAAAAACCUUAUCGCGUUAAGGACCAACAAUACCAGACAACUAAAGUAUGGAUAAGUCACAAUUAACUUGAAGUACAAGGAAAUUAUGAUUGGUAAAAGAUGAAAUGCACCGUGGAAUUCCGGAAAGAGGAAAACAGCCGGUGUAUUAAGGUGCAAAACUCGGUUAUUCAAUUUUACUCUUAUGAAUCCGACGAAACAAGUUGGAACAAACCGGACCAAUUUACGGCUUCAAGCCCAAAAACUCCGAAGAAAAAAAGUUCACUAAAUAAGAAAUCUCUACUUGUAUCGAAGCUCAAAACAAACUGCUAAAGCUUCAAAAGUGAUUGUGCUAUAAAAAGUUCUCUUACAUUUGUGAUGCUUUUCGGACAUGGAAAGCUCAAGCCCUGAAACCGCAGAAAAAACUGCAGCGAUUUAAAGCAAAAUUCCAGUUAGUCUCUAAAGAAAAACACACAAAAUUCCAACUUUCACUCCAAAAAACCCAAAAGCAAUAAACUAAAAGGGAAACUGGCUAGAAAUGAUCAGAAGUCAAAUCCUAAUUGUAGAAUUGAUCAAAAUUAAACAUCGACGACAUAUCAAUUGACGUUAUAGCGAUCAGAUAUCGAUGACAUACUGUAAAGCUGAUCAUUUUAGCAAUUUGUAUUUGAAAAAUGAUCAUUUUGGCCAAUUUUCCAAAUUAAAACCCAAAAUUACCAGAAAGAGCCGGCGUGAGAACACCGUCACCAAUCACCAUGCAAGUUCCAAUCAAAGCAAGAACAAGCAAAAAUCUCUGCAGCACCUUGUGCCUCUCCAGAGUCGACUUCAACCUGGACCCGAUGCUCGACUGCAGCGCCGUCCCGGCUCUUUCCUUGUUGUAAUCGGAGAGCUCCUCGUCGGCAGACUGGCUGUUGGGCAGCGAGCUGACUCGGGCGUGUCGACACAGCAGCGAGUACAAGGCGAAUGUUCCUCCUUCGCCAUUGUCGUCUGCUUUGAGCACAAUAAACACGUACUUGAGAAGGGGGAUGAGGGUGAGAGUCCAGAAUACGAAGGACAAGACGCCAAAGAUUUCUUCGUUGGUCUCUGAGUGAUCGAUAUCUUCAGCAAAUGUGCUUUUGUAAACGUACAGAGGCGAAGUGCUCAAAUCGCCAUAGACGACGCCGAGGCUCUGGUAAGCCAGAGUCAGAAUUGUCUUCCAUGAUUGUUUCUGCAACACAAGAAAACAGCAAUUUGAUCACAAAACUCAAUUGGGUUUUCAUCAUUGCGAAGAAAAAGUAUGAAAUCAAAGCAAAAUACUGCACCUUUAUAUGGUUUUGAUAAACCCCAGUUUCCUGAUCCAUGGCGGGUGGACUCAGUGAUCGAGCAGAGCCAUGUUUUGCUUCAGAUUGGGGAGAGAAAACGAAACCCAUUUAGCAAAAACAGCCUCCCCAAGUUAUAUGCAGAGAAAAGUCACAUUCUUUUGGUGUUCGUUAAAUUGCAAAAAGAUGAAAUGGAUUGUUUAACUUAUUUACUCAGCGACUUUCUGAAUCUCUGAAAAAGAAACCCACAAAAAAACAGAAGAAAAACUCAGCGGAAAAACAAAGUUUCUGCAGAAAACGCCUCCCCAGAAAAAAUUUCUGAAAAACUGAAAACAAAAGGAGCGUUACAGGAACACGAAAUUGGCUUGUAAUAAUCUGCAGGGCGAGAGAGAAAGAUUGUUUCUUUUGAUAAAAUAAUAGUUUACAGAUAUAAAAAUUAAAGAGGGAAAUGUAGACAGCAGGUGAACAACCAGAAAAUGGAGAACAAAAACACGAAAUGCCAAAAGACGGUGGUGCCUUCCUUCUACUCAGUAGUCACUUCUGUAUAAAAAAUAUUAGAAUAUCUGGCUUUAAGCUUCUCUCUGAGAGCAGAGGGGAGAGAGAGAGAGAGAAAGAGAGAGAGAGAGAUUUGUUUUGUGUUAUUUGUUGUUGUAUUGUAGUUGGUGGAAUUUUUGCGUUGGGGCUUUUAAAGUCCACUCGGUGGCUGUUGAGAAUGAGAGAGUGGUGAAGUGAGUUUCUUCCGAUUUCCAGCAGCCAAAUUAGGAGUUGCGAUGGAGGUUUUUUUUUUCUUCCAAAUCUAAUGGUUUUUUUUCUAAAUUUUAGGUGGUUUGACUCAGAAAUGGCACUGUGAUUGCUAUUGAAUGUCUUUAAAUUUUGAUAUUUGUGUCUAUUUAUUUUACAAAUUUUACAAAUUAAAUUCAUCUAACACAUUAAAUUCGUCACCAAAGUGCCAAAUCAGGAUAUAGCCACGGGAUCCAAAAAUCCUCACCAUCCCGUGCAAAUAUAUACAAACACAGUAAUAUAUGGAAAAGGGGUGAAGCUAAGGGGGAAUGUGACUUUGCCUGAAGUCGCAGAACGCUUGGCCUCAAGGGAAAGUCGGCAUGCCGGUCGUGGGAAGGAAAGCGGAGUAAGGAAAUGGAUUUGGCAUCUAUCUUUGGUUCGUCGUUUGUGGGUUUGAGUAGAGGGUGGGAUGAGGAUGGCAUAUGAGGAGGGGAGGUAGAGGGAAGAGAUGGGGAGGAUGGAAGUUGGGUUUGAAAAGAGACGACAAGGAAGAUAGGAAAUGUGGAAAACUAAGGAAAUUAAGGCAUAAAAAACCGACGAUAAACGUCGGAGAAGUGGCGAAGAACGUUGGAAAUAAAUGUCACCGACUCUGAAACCGCCAGCCGACGGAGACGAUUGAGGGCGGAGCACGGAAGGGCGAGAGCUUUUUAGAGAGAAUGAGGGCUGGAUGAGGCAAGAGGUAGGGAGAGGGGCAGAGUCGCAUUUGGAUAUUCUUAUUUUCGGGUUAUUUGCGAAUAUUUAGAUAUUCUUAUUUAACUUUCUCAGUUCUCCCUUUUAUUUUGUUGCAUUGUUGCAUGGUGAUUAUUUGAUCAACUUUUAAAGAUUAUUUAUGCAAAAGUUAACUAACUAAAUGUGAAAGCCUUUAAUUAUCUAACUGUUAUCUAUGAAAUAGAUGAAUCAUGUUUAUUUAAACAUUGAAAUUUUGACAAGGUUAUUCAAACGAUUGAGAUUUAUAAUUUAACUGGUUUUUUGCAUGAUUAAUCUUUAAAAAAUGUGACUUAGAAAUUAGAGAGUUUUUUUUUUUUUUUUUUUUUUUAUCACCAAACAACAUUGCAUGAUAAAACAAAAAAAAGCUGAGAAAAUGAAACGAGAAAGUUCAUGUGAGAAUUGUAAGCAAACCCCUUUCAUAAAUUAAACUUAACAAUGACUGAUAUUGGUUAAGGUAGAUAAUCAAACUAAUGUGCUCGCUACUUUGCUCUUUAAGUUUGAAUGGAUAAGAAUUCUUUUUGUAGAAAAAGAACUAUACGAACCAAAUCUUUUAGAAGCUUUACGAGAAUAAACAAAAAUAAAGAAGAAUAAAUUCUUAUUUUCCAUUUCUGCGAAGAGCCAAAUGUUUCAGUGUUUGUUAAUUGUUAAUAUUUGGUGUGACCUUUGUGUGAAUUCCAAGUUCAGAAGUUACUUCUGGUAUAUAAUUUGUCUAGUUUUUGGCAGCCACCAAACAUGAAUCUUGACUUUCUUGAUAUUUUUAGUUGAAAAUAUUUUUAGUUCGCUCAUAAUUUUGGAGUAUUAUUCAUAUCUAAUUCUCAUAUAAUUUAAAUCUGGACCCGAUUAUUUUUGGUGGUGGGUUCAGAAAGCUAAAGCUCAAUAACAAAUUGGCAAUGUUAUUUUAUUUAAAAUGGUAUUUGAAAGUGGUAUAACUCCUCACUUUCACUUUCGUUUGACAAAUAAAAAUCUAUAUAAACGGUCUUGACUUUGUCCAUUGUAAAUCAUUUUGGUCAUUUCGUGAAAAUCUGUCAAUGUCUUUAUUAAAUUGUCACGUAAAUGAUCAUGUGACCAUCUUUUGUAUUUUUGUCAAACAAACUCCUCCACUUAACGAGGAUAUUGACAGACUUUUCAUAAAAUACCAAAACAAUUUACGGUGGACUAACUCAAAGACUAAUUUUAUCAAUUUUUAUUAUCAGAUACCAAAAUAAAGAAUGAAUCUCAAAGACCAUCUUAGUUAAAAACCAAAUAAAUAUCGAUAAAUAAUACAAAGAGCAGGCAGCUUUUGAGGCUUUGGUAGUGUGAUUAUUUGAAAAGCCAACAAAUUUAAAGUUGGAUUUUGACUAAAAAUCAACACGUACGUGGAGUGUUUGAUAGGCUAUCACCAGUAAUAAGCAAGGCAAAGUGUGUGAUAGGGUUCAUUGAAACCAAACAAGAAAAACCCUACCAUUCGGAAUCUUAGACAGAAUAAUUCUGCAUCCAUUUGAGAAGGUGUUUUAAAUGUCUUUCCCUUCCCACCACAAAAACAAUAUUUAUACUACGAUUGACUAACUUGUUAAUAAAAAUCAAAUAAAUAUAAGGGGUUGCUAUCCUAUCACUAAUAUUAUUAGUUGCAACAACUUUGUUGGAACUUUAUGGCUUAUUUCCCCAAGUGGCUUUUUAAGGGUAGCUCUGAAAAAGUGCUUUCAACAAAUCUGAGUGUUAAACUUUUGUAUAAAAUUUUGAUGUGAAUAUGUUAAGUGACUAAGGAAAAUAAUACAAGGUAAAGAUUAUAAUUUUGUAAAAUAUGCAGAAGUAUACUUGUCAUUUUAAAAUUUCAUUAAAUAGACAUUGUUCACUAUGCUUUGAAAAAAACAUAUAGUAGACCUUAUUUCUGCUUUUCUAUGCUUCUCCAUUGUCAACGACAACUUUUUAAAAAAAAAAAGUAAUUUUUUUUUAUCUUAUCAAACAUAUUUAAUGUUCCAAAUUUUUUUAAUAACAUGUUUUUUUUUAAAGACCACACACCCAAACCAACCCUAAUAUGAUAUCCUUGAUGUCUAGAAAUAAAAUUAAUUAACCCAGGAUAGGAAAUAAUAUGAUACACUUUGUCUUGAUAGGACUACAAUAAUCGAGAGGGUUCCCUUGACCAUACAAAUUAUUAUUUUUUUCGUCAAAAGAUAAAUUUUGUUAGAUUAGAUAUUAGAUUAACAAACCAUAGAAUUCGAACCCACGUCACCAUGUAAGGGCUCAAUUUAUUUCCAUACAAAAUUUAAUCCUUAUUAAAGCACGAAGUUUACUAAUCAAUUACCAUUCCUUAUAUAUAAGCACGAUUAUAAACGGUUGAUUGACGAAAAUGUAAUUUCAUUUUAUACGGUAAGACGUACAUCAUUAGUGGAUUGUCAAUAGCACAUUUUCUUAAGAAAAAUAGUUUGUAACUAGUGUUUACCAAUAACCCUAAACUAAGUGAACAAAUAGGGUUCUUAUUCUGUUCCAAAAAAAAAAAAAUAGGGUUCUUCUUCUUGCUUUUAUCACCCUUUUUGGCUGUUUUGAACUUUUGAAGGAUGGUUGGUGACGAUGAAUUAUAUUGGAUUUUUAGUUGGGUAAUGCUAAGGAUAUUAUUCAUAAAAUUAUAUUUUUAUAUAUGAAGUCGUUUUUUAUGAUCAAAUUAUCACGUGUCAUUUUCUAUUACUGACACAUCAUACGGUAUAUAAAUUUAAUUUAAAAAGUUAAUUUAUUUAGCAUUACUUUUUGUAGUCAAUUAAUCAUCAAGCUAACUAUGCCUUCUAGAUUAUGCACACUAUUAUUAGAAAGAGGAUCCUCUCCGGAUCCACUUUGUGGGGAUUCUAGGGUUCCCCACAUCCUAGCCGUUCAUUGUACAUCGUGCGGACAGUUUUAGUCAGAUACUAUUUGUGUUUAAUUUUAAAUAAAAAAAAUCAAAUAAUUUAUGAUCGCACGAUAUACGAUAAAUGAUUAAUAUGUGAAGAUUUAUAGAAUUCCACAAAGUAAAAUUCGAAUCGGAUCCAAAUUCCUAUUAUUAUUCAACCGAGUAAAUUCUUACAUUCUUCGUUUUACUUUUUGCAAACUGACCGUACCUGGUAAGUUUGUCCCUUGAUUUAUUAAUGAUAUUAAACAGUUGAAAAGAAAGAAAGAACUGCAACAGGUCAAAAGAAGAUUGCAAAAUCACUCUGCUUCUUCGGAGUUGAAACAAUGUAAGCACUGGCUAUGAGAGUUAGUCUUGAACUGGUGUUUAAUUAAGAUUGAUAUUGAGAGUGAUGUGCUUCAGAUUGUUUUGGUAGUGUUGGAGUUUUCGAUGAACUUGUCUUCCAUGGGACCCAUCAUCAAAGAUACCAAAUUCUUGCUGUCUCUGGUCACUGAAGCUUCGGUUGCCCAUAUUUGCCGUCAAGCAAACUCGGUAACCCAUAUCAUUAGUGAUUUUCUUGUUAAGGAUGUUUCUUUAUCUUGUACCAAUUAGCCUGACUGACUUUAUGAAAUAUAUGCCGUCCUGUCCCAAAAAAAAAAAAGAAAAAAAAAAGAAACAAUGUAUUUCUUAAUGGACGUACACGUUCAAUUCAUGCAGCACAACAGCUCGGUUUUACCUAACUCUUUGCCCUUCUAAGAAAACAAAGAAACUUCUAGGAUGCAUGAAUUAAACACGUGUCGUACUCCUGUCGGCUCAACACAACAGCACGUGUCCCUCAUGCAUGGCUGGAAUUUGGAGAAUGCAUGCAUGGCUCUCGUUUUUUUUAUUUUAUCAAAUUAACGUGAGGGAUGCAAACAGAAACACAUUUUCUACUGUUGUUAGCGCAUUCGCUAAGACAUAUAUGAUGAAGCAGCCAUAAAGGUAGAAGGAUUUAUUUGGAACUUCAGCGUAAAAAAUCAUUUCAUGCACUGAAUUUCGUACAAUAAAUAGUCGGGUAAAUUACAUAGUAGUUAUUCAAGUUUGAUGUCUAUUAUAACCUUAUACAACAUUUUAAAAACAUUUCACUUUCAUACCUCACGUACUAUUUUAUUUCAAAAUAAUAUAUCCGUUUCAUUUUCUAUCAAUUGAUCCGUUAAGCGCUGACGUGACAGCCACAUUUGUGUCACGUGGCAAAAAAAAAAAAACUUAGAAAACCCAUAUCCCAUCACCCCACCCCCCUUGCGCCGCCCGCCGAAACCCCAUCCCCUUCAUCAUCUUCCCCAUCCGUCAUCCCUCCCUGUUACCCAAAUCCAAAACCACUCCUACCCAUCCUCCACAUCCUCCUCCGCACCCAUCCUCCACCUCCUCCGCGCACCCAUCUUCCCAUCCCCCCUCCCCACCCGAGCCCAAUCUGCAACCCAAAAAAAAAAUAAAAAAACCCAACUACAUCUUCCCCAACCCCCCUUUCCUGCAACCCACCCCUUUCUUCUCCCUCCCAUCUUCCCCAAACCCAAUGUGCACCCAUCCUCCACCUCCUCCUCCUCCUCCUCCGCACCCACUACCUGCAACCUAGAAAAGAAAAGAAAAAAAAAAAAACCCAUCUCCCUUUCCUUGCAACCCAUAUCUUGUCUUCCCCAAUGGGUGUGGAUUUAAGGAGUGGGGUGUGUAGAGGAGGGAAGAUGGUGGGUGCGGAGGGUAGGUGCGCGGGUGGGUGCGGAGGAGGACGUGGAGGGUGGGUGCGGUGGGUUUGUGGUAGAUGGGAGGGGGAAGAAAGGGGUGGGUUGCAAGGAAGGGGGGUCAGGGAAGAUGAAGACAGGGGUUUUUUUUUUUUUUUUUUUUUUUUUCUUCUUCUUCUUCUUCUUCUGGGUUGUAGGUUGGGUGGGGGAGGGAAGACAAAGUGGGGGUUGCAGGGAGGUGUGUUUUAGCUUUUUUUUAAUUUUUUUAAUUUUGUUAGAAGAUUUAGGUUUUUUUUUUUUUUUUUUUUUUUAAAAAAAAUUUGCCACGUGGCACAAAUGUGGCAACCCAGUUCUUGUCUUCCCCAAUGGGUGUGGAUUUAAGGAGUGGGGUGUGUAGAGGAGGGAAGAGGGUGGGUGCGGAGGGUAGGUGCGCGGAUGGGUGUGAGGGUGGGUGCGGAGGAGGACGUGGAGGAUGGGUGCGGUGGGUUUGGGGAAGAUGGGAGGAGGAAGAAAGGGGUGGGUUGCAAGGAAGGGGGGUCGGGGAAGAUGAAGAUGGGUUUUUUUUUUUCUUUUCUUUUUUCUUUUCUUCUUAUUUUGGGUUGCAUGUUGGGUGGGGGAGGGAGGGAGGGAGGAAGACAAAGCGGGGGUUGCGGGGAGGUGUGUUUCAGCUUUUUUUUAUAUUUUUUUAAAUUUAUUUAGAAGAUUUAGGUUUAAAAAAAUUAAAAUUUUGUUUUUUUUGCCACGUGGCACACAUUUGGCAGCCACGUUAGCGCUUAACGGAUCAAUGGAUGGAAAAUGUAACGGAUGUAUUAUUUUGAAAUAAAAUAGUACGUGAUGUAUGAAAGUGAAUGUUUUAAAGAUGUUGUAUGAGGUUGUAAUAGACCUCAAACAUGAGGGACUACUAUAUAAUUUACCCUAAAUAGUCCUUUCUGGUUUUAGGGUUAGGGUUUAGGCUAAUAUUUUGACGUGUAUGGUGGUGCAAAUUGCACUUACAUAUGAAAUAGACGAAACAAUUGUACUUUGUACAUACAGAGAAGCGACUGAGAUGUUUACCAAUAUUUUCCAUGAUUUUAUUUAAUUAUUUUUUUUUCAUUUUGUUGCCUUGUAGGAAAAGGAUUUUUGUCGGAUCCUUUUCCUGCGGAUCCUAAGAAUCCCGUAAUUAUGGUCAUUCAUUGUACAUCGUGCAGUCAUAAAUCAUUAGGUACUAUUUAUAUUUAAUUUUAAAUUUUGAAAUAAUUUCUUACCGUACGAUGUACAAUGAACGGUCACGAUUAUGGGAUCCCUAGAAUCCUGAGGAAGGUAAUCUGUGUCAAAUCAAAGUUGUAUACAUUUUACAUCAAUGGCUCGAAUUUUUGGUAAUUUAGGGCUAAAGAUUUUACUGGUUCAAUCAAACUAUCCAAAUACUCGUAUUUUGACAAAAAUUAAAAUUUAUAAAUUAGCAUGUACUAAUUAAUUCUCCUUUUUGAAUUCGUAAAAUAUAAAUUUUGAAUUUCCACAUAAAAAGGACUUGGAAUUUGGGACCUCCUUCCCAAGCUUAAAUUCUAUGUAAAUAUAUAUGUGUUAUCUUCAAAUUUCUAUGAGUGAGAGUUUAAAAAUAAAAAUUUCCAUCUUUUAGGUCAACCAAACAAGAAAAUCCACAAAUUCUAGAAAAUAAAAUUUCGUCAUUUUGAAAAUUUUUGGGGAUUUUAGAUCCAGGUCCAAAAAACAUAGAGUGUUUUUAGGAGUGACUCCAGUUAUCUAAUUAUAUGUUUUUAUUUCUUUUAUACUCCUUUUAUAUUUUCUAAAAAUAAUAAAAAUCUUUUAAUAUUAUGCAUUUUUCAACUCCCAAAUAUCUAAUUAAUAUCUUAUAAACAAAAAAAAAUAAUUAAUAUACUAACAUAAAUCUAUCUGCAAAACAUUUUACCCUAACUCAAGUAACAAAUAUAUGAAUGUAUAUUAUACCUGUAAGUGAGAUAUGAAACUUAACUAAAAGGUAGAAAAAAAAAACAUAAUAUACCUAUAGGUAGAUAAAUACAAUUAACAUAGUGAGAUAAGACACAUUAAUCUGUGACAGGUUGACUAUGAAAAAGAAUCUGUCAUAUAGGUAGAUAAAUACAAUUAACAUGUGAUAUAGGUUGAUUAUAAAAAUUAAAAAAAAAAUCUAUAAAUGGGUUAAAGCAGGAGGAAGAACAAGAAAUAACAAAAAAAAAUAUACAAAAAGAAAUAAUCAAAGAGAUAAUUAGGAAGAAAUUUGAUUUUUACAAUAAGUUUUUUCUUUUAAGAGAUAAUUAUUGAUAAUUAAAUAAUUAAAUUUAAAGAAUUGAACUUAUUUUAAUAAAUUGGACCAUUCCUACUAUUGGCUCAAAAAAUUGGAGUUAUAUCAAGUUUCCCCAAAUUUUUUAGUAAUUUUAAAUUUCCUUAUCCAACCACAGCGUGCAUCAAAAUAACUUGAAAAUUAGUAAAAACUUGGUUUUUGGCAUGAAAAAAAUUGUUUUCUCUCGUUUGGCAACCUCUAUCGUGGAAAACGCCAAAUUCUACGUGAAAAAAUCGCGAAUACACCUAAGCGGGAAUUUCAGUGCGCAGAGAGAUACUCCAAAUUUCUGGUAUGAGUUACGCUGCUCUUGCGUUGUUCACCUAUUCUUGUAAUCUGAACCAAAAGUUUUGCGAUCUGCUCUUGUGUCGCUCUUCUUGAUGUCGUGUAGAUUUCCAGGUCAGUGGCUUAUCUUCCUUUUCCCUUCUGAUUGGUGUCUGUUGCUGGAUUAUUCUUUGUUCCCUGACUUUGAAGCGUCUCUCUGCGCGCCAAAUUUUUCUCUUAGGUUGGAUUUUGAAAUAACGCCUCUAUCGGUGGAAAUUAAAGUUGGAAAUCUCCGUGCUCAAGUUCCACUAUUUUUUCUGCGCAAAAUUUGGCGUUUUCCACGAUAGAGGUUGCCAAAUUAACGAGGGAAAACAAUUUUUCCUUGCUGAAAUACCGAGUUUUUAUUAAUUUCCGAGUUAUUUUGACGCAUCCAAACACAGUGUAACUGAAAACUCAUUUUUGUAUGCAAGUUAUGAGAGUAGUGUAUUUGUUAUAUCGUACCUAAUCGGUUAUCCAAAUUACUUUAUUAGGUAACAAUUUAUAAUAGUUUAUGUCAAGGAAUUUUGAAGUUAGGUUCGAGUUUGCAUGCAUGGGAGGAGAGAGGCAUUAAAAAAAUGAGAGUCGGUAUCAAAACCAGAAUUCAAGCUAUGCAGCACAUAUGCAUGAAUCAAAUUAAUUAAAUGAUUACAAUUCAGCAUGGGGGAUUAGGUAGCUAGAUUUAACCUGCACCAAGAGCAUGUGUAUAUAAUAAAUUAAGUAACAUAAUUUUGUCUAAUCACAACGAUUUUAGGUCAAGAAGCACCGGAUCACACAAAUUAAUUAAUUAGUAGUUGUUUAAUUAGCUAGUUUCAGCUCUUAUAAACCAUAUAGGGUUUGUAAAUGUUUGUGGUCCAUGGAUAGCGAUGGAUCCAGUAGCCUGUUGGCUCUCAAAUAAAUUAGCUAUAGGAUUAGUCAUGAUUUAAUCUCAUUUAAUUAUAUUGGGAUCAUUGUUUAAAUAUCGAUAUAGCAGGAAAUAUCAGUAUGCAAAUUUAUGAAAAUAUCGAUAUCAGUUGCCUUCGACGAAAAUACUCAAAAAAAUUCAAAAGUUCGAAAUCUGCAAUGCGUUCGAAAAUUGAAAUAAUAGUAUACGGAUGAUAUUUUUAGCUAUUAUCAAUGAAGGUAAUAUAAUAUAUUUUAUAAGAAUUGAUUGGGUUACGAAUCCCAGGCCUGCUUGACUGUGAGAUCUCACAGAGAUGAAAGUUGACGAAGUGAUCCGGGAGUCUUGUGUGGAAGGGCUCUCGCUCGAUGGUUCUCUCGCAAAAUUUUUGUAGUGAGUCAAUAAACAUUGUUGAUAUUCAUCAAUUUUCCAAUAUCUCGCCGAUACACGAUGAAGUUUAUAUUUCACCCCCCCCUCCAACGAUUAUCGACAAUUUCAUAGGUAUUUUAAACCCUGAUUGGGAUCCAAUAGAUAAGAACUGUCAGCAUUAGUCUGUGCAGCCAGUAAUUGUUUAUUAUAGAAGGAAAUGCAAUACAAUCCUUCAUCACAUGUAGAUGACUUUAGGUCGUUGGUGUACUCGUCUGAGUCACGACUAAAGAAGAAACCUAAAGAUCAAUGGUUCUCAAUCAUUCACACAUAAAACUUGCAUCCAUCAACGAUGUGGUCUCAGCAAAGCUCACUCGUUGAAAAUUUGAUUAAAAACUAUAUGAUUGGUUUAUGGUUGGACUCUAAUGGCCCUUCAAAGCUUAACAGGACCGUUUACACCCGUUGAUUAUCGAAAUAAUGCUGGAUUAAAAUGCCCUUAAUUAUUCAAUUAUUCUGAGACACAUGGGUCACUUAAUUAUCUUAUAGAGUCUUAAUUAUCAACUAACAUCUGACUUUUCACUAAUUAGAAGAAGUUUUCAGCUUCCACGGAUUUCAGUCCAGAAAAAUUAGUUUUCAUGAAUUUCUUAUGAAAAUUCAACGAACAAAAAGCAAUUUUUAAGUAUCUAAACUCUCAAGCGUGCUUUGUUUCCUCACGUUUUAGGAGUCAUGACACGUGGUGGAUCUAGCGGUUGACUGGGAACGAGUCUGAGAGUUCCCCAAUCUAAUUGAUGAUGCAAAGUGCAAACCCUACUCAUCCUCCUCUCUUAUCCAUUUACGACAUCCUCUCCACUUCCAUUCUUUUUUAAAGUAUAAUCCAACUUCCCCCACACGCAAACUCCACUAAGAGUCCUUGUUGUUUAGGAUGCCUUUAGAAUGGCUAAAAGCGAUUAUGAUAACAAAUAGAUUGAUAUGAGUGUGAUUUCAAAUUACAAGGUAUGAAUGAGAUUGCUUUUAGAAGAACUAAACGUGUUUUUCGACGCUCAAAAACGCUUAUGACUGUGUUUGACAAUUUUUUAAAAAAGUGAUUGUAGAAGUGUUUUCGAGAGAAUCACAUGAAUGCUAUUUCAUGAAGCACUUCAUAAAACACUUGAAGCGACCCCAAACACGUAGUCUUAUACAUAGUGCUCUUUUGAAAGGUGACCUUUCUAAAGCGUUUUUAACAAAAUUCUUAUAAACAUAAAUGCUUUCUAUAAGGGAAUAGGAUCAUCUCUGGAUCCUCUUUGUGGGGAUCUAGAGGAUCCUUCAAUUGUGUCCUUUAAUCGUAUAUCGUUAGGCCAGUUUUCGUUCGGUACUAUUUAUAUUAAAUUUUAAAUUAAAAUUUUAAAAUAAUUUCUAAUCGCACGAUAUACGAUGAGCGGACACGAUUAAUUAAUCAUCCGGAUCCCACAAAGAGGAUCCGGAGAGGAUCCUAUUCCUUCUAUAAGAACCCUCAAGCACGCACUUGCAUGAGUUGGCCUUCUUAUUAAAACGCACUGCGUGAGAAAUGUGGCUUGAUUAUAUUUGUACAUAAAAAUAUUCUUUAGGGUUUAUUCUAAAUGUCGAUACUUUUCCACCAAUAAAAAUAGGUUGCCACUUUUGCCUAAAGCCCGACAAGAAAAAUAAACCCAACAGAGCUUCUUGUACGCAAGAACUACUUUGGUUGGUGUUGAAAAAUGGACCAAAACAAAGACAAGAAAACACAAAGAGACCAACAGAAGAACUCACAUUCAAUUGGCCCGUUAAGGAGGCGGUAUUGCAAACAAAUCACGAGAUACCACAUAUGGUAUGGUCAGUCGGUUUGAGAUACCGUCACCAGAGCGUCUUAGUUGCAUGUUUCUCUGAAGGAUGGGGAAAUUUAUGAUGCAAUAAUUGUCUUACAGUGUCUCACAUAGAGGUUGCAAUAAGCAGCAGAUAAAUAUCCAUAAAAUGAGAUAAAUUCUGCAAGUAAAAAUAAAUAAAUCAGACCAUGUAAGUCAUACCGACUUGCAUGAUGUUCAUGUGAGGCACACUCAUAUUUGCAGGACCUGCUCUGCAGUUCCUCCUCAUGAAUGCAUAGAAGUAGUUUAUGACUAGCUUCUUGAAGAAAAACGAGUUCUUCUUUGCCCUCACAUCUCCGUGCGCUAGCAAAUACGUAAAUCCUGAAUCCAUUGCUUCUCGCAGUGCUGAGAGCUCAUACUCCAGACCGGGGUCUUCAUUCGAUGACAUCACACUAGACGGCAACGUUUCAGCAACAGCAGUUUCUUCUGAGGUUGAAGCUCCUCCUACCUCCAGUGAUCUUCCAUUGUGCAUCAAUGGAAUCCUGAGUUCCUCAAUCUCAUCACCUCCUGGGACUCCCAAAUCCCUUGACCUGGGAGAAUCAUUGUCAAAGUCUGAGUCAUUUAAAUUGCUCUCCAAGGCAAUAUCUUGAGCUUCCUUCCUCAGAAACUUCUCCAGGCUUUCAACUAGAAGUUGUUCAAAUGAAUGGUGAUCUUCCUUCCGGAUAUCUUUGUAACCGUAUCGGGCUACACAGCGGAACAUAUGGUAGUCUUUUGGGCAAACUCUUCGAAACAGAAACCUUUCUUCCUGAGGAACCACUGGGACAGGGACAUACUUAAUGCAGACGAAAACUAUAGUGGAGUGGAUAGCUGGAAGACUUAGAAGGAACUGCACAAAAAUGGAUGGGAUGCCUUGGACAAGCUCACUAUACAGCAAUCCAAUUCCUGGGACUCUAACAGUCCCUAGUGUGGAGCCAAGAUCAGUCAUGGAGUCCAUGGAUAUCUUCUCCCUUACCUCGCUUCGGUACUUCAGCACACUCCCAUAGUUCCAAGUGUACAUCACACAGAGGAAGCAAGAGGCGAAAGCAAGAGGCAGCCAGCCACCCUCUUUGAUUUUUGAUAAAACCGCACACAAGUAGACAAACUCUAUCGAUCCAAAUACAAGUGGAAAACACAAAGCUAGAAACAAGUUGGUUUGCCAAAUGAGAAGCAUUACAAGUGUCACCAAGGUUGUGCUCACCAUCAUGACACCAACUUCAGCUAUUCCUGCGUGAAUAGAUAUAAUUGGAUUAGCAAAAUUAUCAUUACACAUUAAUAGUUGGUACAUCUUGACUCCUGUCCGACUAAUAAAACUCAUAUAUAUUGUUGUGAGGAAUAUAAACUCAAUAUUCCUGCCUAGCGGCAUUUAAAAUUGUAACAUAUAGAAUUUCAUGUGAUAACAUUAGAAUAUGAAUGUUGAACCAACUUCAUUUCAAAUAUACAAAUAUCUUUGGCUUUGGACAAAAUUCUUAUAGGAAGGAGAGGAAAAGGAUAAUUCACCAUAUGCAUUGGCAAUCUCUGUGGUGCUUCGAAAGAUGGAAACCACAACUAUGCACAUGAUCAUUAAAAACCAAUUGAUAAUAGGGAUAUAAAUUUGGCCCAUUCGCCUCUUUGAGGUGUGAACUAUCUUUAGCCUUGGGAAGCAUCCAAGAGCCAUUGAUUGCUUAACACAUGAAAAUGUAGCAGAUAUCAUCGCUUGGCUGGCAAUCAUCGCAGCAAGGGUAGCUACCACAAAGACUGGCCAGAAAAGACUAUCUGUUUGUUCACAAGAUUGGGGAACCAUAAGUGUCAAACUGAGGAACCAAAUACAGAGAGAUGCCCCUUUACGAGACAGUUAGAGUGGAGUUGAAAAGAAUGGUAGCCAAGAUGUUGGAAAGUGUCACCUGGCACAGAAUCAUAGAAUAUUCUAGCCGAGGAAUCAGGGUGUUUCAUCAGAUAAGCAGCUUGGCCCAUGUAAGCUAAGAGAAGGCAGGGGAACACCACAAAGCUGAAGGCAACCUGCACAAGAUGUAUAGAUUAUACGAUGCUCUUCGAUAAAUAAAAUGUAUGAAGCUAUUUCAAGGGAGAGAAAGGGUAUGCAUUGGCCAACCUGAAUGGCUCGCACAGAGAAAUGUCCUAGAUCAGCAAACAUAGCUUCGGCUCCUGAAACAGCAUAACCACUAAUGCAUUUGGGAAGUUUCUUUACUAUAAAUCCAUAGGAGAAAUUGAAAAGGGAAAAACAAAUGGCUCUCAUUAGAAACCUAACGGGAGUUAAAGGUGAGAUAUACCUGUAAUGCACAAAACACAACCACCAAGAGCGAACCAUGCUUCCUUAUUGUUCUUCUUGAAGAAAAAAUAAAUAUAAGCAGGAUUGAAUGCCCUCAGGACUGUAACGUCAUACUUCACUAAAUUGUAGAUUCCAAUAGAUGCCAGGCUGAAGAACCACAAAGCAAGUAUUGGAGAAAACAUGACACCCACUUUUCCAGUCCCAAACCGCUGUAUGCUGAACAACACUAGGAGAAUUACAAUCGAAACAACAACCACAGCAUCUGCAAUUAAAAUCAAUCAGAUUAUGGGCCAUACUGUCCGCAACUUAUAAGUUAUACUUGUGUUUCCCCUUUCAAUUCUAUCCCAGGUAAAAAAAAUAGUUAAGUAAACAAAUGAACCACAGAUUCUCUGUCAGACUAAGAAAAAGAUACUCACUUGUACCAAAACCUGGCAAUUCACCUUGCAGGCCACUCACAGCAGACAUCACUAUGACAACCAAAAAGAAGAAAAUACAUCAGUAUACUCUCCUACACAGAUACAAUGGAAAACAUUCGUAUAAUGUAUGAAAAUGAUUGUGCACAAUUUUGCAGUUUCAGCCAGGUUUAACAAAAGUCCUACUUCCUAAUUGUGGUUUCCUGUCUAAGGAAGAGGAACUUGAAAACGAUGCAAGAACAAUCUGUGGCUGUUAUUGGUAAUGUGAUUUCAUGUCAGUAGCUGCAGCUUAAACAUAUUUUGUUGGCUGAGUAUAUGAUAUCAAGAAUUUUCCACCUCAAGCUCAGUCAAGUAAUGUACCUGAUAUAGCUGGGGUUAGAAUACCAUCUCCUAUAACCAUCGAAGUUCCCAUCAAAACGAACAACAAGAGGAUAGUUUUCAAGAAUGGUCUCCUUUCUAAAGUGUCUUUUAUACGCAAAGCCCUUUUCAACUCUGGAGUGGGCAAUUUGAGCCUAUAACUUGAGAUGUAUUCAUCAGCUGGCUGACGAUUUGGCAGCAGAUUAACAUUUGCAUAUCUGCAUAUCAGUGAGUACAAUGCAAAUGUUCCUCCUACAAUUGGAAACAUAAAUAGUGUACAGGUUAACAAGUACUCACAUGACCAUAUACUACCAAGCAACUAAGGACAAAAUAACCAAGGACAAAAUAAUUGUGACACGAAAAAGUGCCUACCUUCUCCAUUAUCAUUGGCUUUGAGAACUACGAAAACAUAUUUUGCUAAAGGUAUAAGCGCAACUGUGUACAUCACUAGUGAUAAAGCUCCCAAGACAUCAACAUCUGAUUCGAUGCGCACCCUGCUGAACACAUCAGCAAAGACAUAUAAAGGGCUCGUUCCCAUGUCACCGUAGACCACGCCAAGAGUUUGGAAUCCUAAAGCAAGAGUGCCCCAAACAGAAUGAUCCUGAUUGAUUAAACAAAGUUAGUAAGUCAUGGAUAUUAUCAUAGUAGUAUUUUCAAACACUUUACAUUACAGAAUUGGGAAAAGGUAAUUUUGUCUGCAAAAAAGGGGUGGCAAAUCAUGAUUCUGCUGAUAUACAAUUUCUUAAUAAAAGGUUCACAUGAUGUAACAAACAUACCAUAUUACAAAGAUUAUUUUUUAAUACAAACGAUACUCUACUCCAAGCUAAUAUAAAUUGCGGGGAUGAGGAUUCAAACUCAGUGCAUAGGGGAGCAUGUCAGCUCUAGCCAAUGUGGUUACACCCAUGCAAAGUAACCUUUAUUCCAAAUAACCAAAUUUCCAAUCUUACAACAUUUGAUGAAUUUAAAAUUAACCAACACAUAAAGAAAAACCACUAAUACCACAUAAAAAUGAUUUAUUUCACAAAAAAAACCGAAGAAAAACGUAAGGAACUGUGUUAUUACCUUCAAGUGAUGGCUACCAGCACCAGCAAUCGCCAUGGCUUCCACAUCAAGAGAAUCAACUCUCUUGGGCUUCUUCACAAGCCUCCUCCUGAAAGAUCCUCCAUACCCUUCUCCUCUGCCGCGUUCUCCAUUAUCAGAAUGCAACGACCACGGCGGCGAUUCCGAGUCCACCUCGCUCCCAUCCACCCACCUCGAGUCGCUCCCUACCCCACUCCCACUUCUUCCCGCCAAUCUCUCACUCCUCUCCACAAUCCCAUCUUCUUCUGCCAUUUUUGCACAAAUCCUUCAGAACAAAAAUCCAAUCUUUUUCUUCGAGCUUCAGUAAUUGGUCAUGAAAUUGAAUGAUUUGUUGUGGGUUAUAUAUCGUGCCUGCUGAGAUGAUGUUUGAGCGUGGCAGAUGAGUGGGAGUGAGGACGGCGACAGCGUUUUCGAAUAACGACACGGACAUUAUUGACAUGAUAACAAACAACAAACCAUCCAUUUAUCUUCCUUCGGCUUUUCUGCUAUUGGUCCAUAAUCAUACGUCCACGCACUUUUUUCUUGUUUUAUAGUAUAUCUUGCUUCUUUCUAUAAGAUUAUUUUAGUGUAUCUUUUCGGAAUUCUUUUUACGUUGCGCAAUAUUAAAUGUUACGAAUAUUUGAUAAUAUGAAUUAAUUUGGAUUAUUUAGUUUUAUAAAUUCAGAUUAUUCAAUGAUUGUGUAUUUAAUAAAUAGAUUAUUUUCUUGUAGGCGGUAAAUUAUUCAGAUAGUUUGAGUAUAAGACGAUAUGAUGUUUGAAAGCAUUUUUCUUAUUUUAUUUUUAUGUUCGUCCAACCUCUUCACUAUAAAUUUAAAGCUUCUUUAUAAUUUGCUUCCAUACGAGGAAAAACACUUUAUGAACAAAAAAAUGCUUUUAAAUGUGUUUCACUUAAGAAAACUUGGAAGUUUUUCAUGAAACACUUGGAACUUCUAAUAAAUUUCUAAACGUGUUUAUAACAACAUCACUUCCACUAGAAAAGUUUUCCAAGUACGUCAUUAGUCUUGUUUGAUGAGAAAUAUUAAACGCUUACACGCCAUUUUGUAGAGUUUAUGUUUCUUAAGUUAUUUCUAGACAAUAAAUAAGGACUUUCAAAUGGAGUAAGCAGAAUCAUUGGAAAUACGACAUGGAUUAAUAAAAGGGGUGAAAUAAUGUGAAGAAGUAAAAAUUUAUCCUACGAAAAUGAUAUGAGAAAUAUAGAGCUCGUUUGAAAGUUAUUUUAAAAUUACUGAAAAAACUUUUAGUGAAAAUAUUUUUGGCUUUUUAGCCAAUAUGGUCUAUGAAAUUUGCAUAACUCCUCACUUUGGUGCAUGAGAUUUGAAAUCAAUAAAAGUGGCACUUGAGAUUGUUCAUCAUCAAUUAUUUUGGUCAUUCCAUAAAAAAUCUCCACUAAAUGUAAAUGACAAAAAUACCCUCAUUUUUUUUGUCAAAUCAUUUUGACGUAUUGUUUGUUAGAUUGAUGGUAUUUUUGUCAUUUUGAUUGUUUUUAACAUAAUUUUUUGCGGAAUGACUAAAAUGAUUGAUUUUGGACAAUCUCAAGGAUCACUUCUAUUGAUUUCAAAUCUCAGGGACCAAAAUGAGGAGUUAUGCAAAUCUCAGGGACCAUUUGGCUAAAAAUCCAAAAUUUUAAGACCAAUCUUUAGUAGAAAUCUAAGUGGAUUAUAGAAAAACAUUUUAAGUGCUUCCUGCAAGAAGAAUAUAUAUGGUACUUCUUUCAAAAAAUACUUAUAUGCUUUUGGAAACCCAAAGUCAAUUUCACCAAAAGCAUUUUCAGUCGUUUUAAAAGUAUUUUCAAACGAGCCCAUAGGCAUGUGUUAGCAAUGCCGUAGAAUGGCUUUGGAUAUUAAAAACGACAUGCCGUUCAGACACCCUUAGAAGUCUGGGCCUUGAGAGCAGAUAACUUUACAUAUAAGCCCAAUAGCGGGGCAGUUGGGCUCCCGAAACUCACAGACAAGGUUAAAAGAGGAGAUUCACCAUAAGGGCUAAAAGGGGAAUGUACAAUCAGUCGAAGAACACGCGGGGAAAUUGGUUCUGGUUUCUAGGGUUUAAUCGGGCUCUGCGAUUCCACCCGCAGAGCAUCCAAUUCGUUUCCCCAUCGCUCCGAUCAAUCAAAGUUCACAAAUUCUAGGUUUUUUUCAAGGUAAUAUUCAAUGCUAUUUUUCCCUCUUUUCGUUUCGUAAAUCAUUGAACUUUCGAUUUGUUCUAAUUUUUCCUGGAAAAGUUCGAUUAUUUCUGGAAUUUAAAUGAGAAUUUGUUUUUAUUAGAUAAAUUUGUGUUAUAUAUAUAUAUAUGUAUGUAUUUUGCUAGGUUGAAGGUGGUAUUGCGACGAUGACUCGGGUUUAUGUUGGGAAUUUGGACACUCGAGUGAACGAGAGGGAUUUGGAAGAUGAAUUCCGGAUGUUCGGCGUUCUUCGCAAGUAUUUUCUGCUACAUUCCUCUUGUUUUUCGUUGUCUUAACGAGUCGUGAUCAAUUUUCAUAGGUUCGAAGGAUUCGUGUUGCUAACCAAUAUUUUUAUGAAAUUGAUGACAGUGUAUGGGUUGCACGAAGACCGCCAGGAUAUGCAUUUAUUGAAUUUGAUGAUCGCAGGGAUGCUCUAGACGCGGUUCAAGCUUUGAAUGGUUUGCCCAACUAUCCCACUCUAACUGUAUUUGUGUGUGUUAAUUUGUUUUGUUUUGACUUUUGCAACUAUAAGUGAUAAGUUGGUGUCGUAUUAUCUUUUGCAUCAUAUCUUCAUUUAUUCUGGUAGAUGCAAAGCUUCCUAUCUCCCGUUUUUGUGUAUACAGGUAAAAAUGGAUGGCGUGUGGAGCUUUCUCACAAUUCUACGGGUAGUGGAGGCCGUGGUGGUGGUGGACGUGGGCGUGGUGGAGGAGAGGACUUAAAGUGUUAUGAGUGUGGUGAACCUGGUCAUUUUGCUCGAGAAUGUCGCACGCGCGUUGGUUCACGAGGAGUGAGUGGUGGAAGGCGUCGAAGUCCAUCCCCUCGACGCCGCAGAAGUCCCAGUUACGAUGGCUGUGGGCGCAGGUGGGACCAUCUUUCUUUUCUAACUCACUCUGUUAAAAUUGUGAUUCUGUAUUUUGAUGACCCGUUGUCUUUCCAUUUUAUGCUAUUGUUGCGUUGAGUGUUUGAAUGGUAAUGAGAAUUGUUUGUACCCUGAUUAACCGCAUCCUUCUUGACAUACUUGUCUCAGCUCACUUAGAAUUUGCCUUGUGCGUGCCAAGUUUUUUUAUUUGGAACACAAUAUUCCUAAUGUUUGUCUACUUUUGAAUUGAAAAUAUUUUGUUCUUGAUGAGGAGAAUUAAAAUUAUUACACUUAAAUGAUAUCUUUUUUGGCAGGAGUUAUAGUCCGCGUAGGAGAAGAUCACCUCCACGACGCCGUAGUGUCACACCUCCUCGACGUGGUCGGAGCUACAGCAGGUCUCCUCCACAUCGCCCUGCUCGUCGUGCUUCACCUUAUGCCAAUGGGUAAGUCAUGGCUAUACAACGUUUGUAAGUCUUGGCUAUACAGUGUUUUUACAAAAUGGUGAAAGAUAUAAGCUCGAACAAGUAGAGUGUAUUUGGAUGUGAACAACUGGUUGAAAGUGUUAGGGCUUUGUGUUUUGGGACUUCUUUUCUUCUUGAUAUUAUCGAGUAGCUGAGUGCAUCUGCUUGUUUGCCUUUACAGGGACUAAGCUGGAAUUGGAGCAACUGCUGGAUGACUUGGAAGGAUGAUUUCUCUGCUAUAUUGUAGUUCUAGUAGGAUUGACGAGAAUCAUGUUAGUUAUGUCGAUGUCGUGACAAUGGGUUUUAUUAGAAACUUGGAUUGGAUGACUUGGACAUCAUUUGCAUCGGCUUUCUCACUUCUGCGUGCUAAAAAUUAGAGGUUGCUUUCCUACUUUGAAGUUGCCAUAUUAUAUCUGUUUAUAUAUGAUUUUAUGUGAACUCUUUCUUUGUGGUUGGAUUUUCAUUGUUUGCAUUAGAUGUUCCUAAAGUUUGUUUGUUUUGAUUUGAGGUGUAUUUUCGGCUAAAACGGCUUCGUUUCAACACUUACUGCAUCUUAGCGCUCACAAUUUCUAUCUCUGCUCUGCAUCCAUCGAAGUCUUCUUCUUGCACGAACUUUGGUACUUUGGUUGCACGCGACACCUUUUUAUUGCAUUCUUCUCCAGCAGAGCUUCAUGAACACCCUUUUUUGUUGGUUCAAGAAGAUGAAGUUGUUUGUCGCCUUCCCCACCUUGGCACCUCUGCACAACAUGUACGUUGGAUGUCUACGCGUUAAUCUGCUUCUCUUUCCUUGAGAAAUUUGGACGCAACUGGCCAAAUUAGAGUGUGUCAUCAUCUACCGUGUAUCACAGUAAGACUCCACUUCUUAGUUCUCCACUUGCUGAUCGAAGAAGGUGAGUUUGGUUCUCAGUGGUUGAGAGUUGAGCAUUUAUGGUAGUAGUCUUUGAGCGAAAUAGUAUGGUUGGUUAAUCUACUGACUAAGUCCCAAUGAGCUGACGAUCUUUUUUGCUUGUGGAGUCCGUUUCACCCCCAUCAUUAGUCACAAAGGCUUGGUUUUUGACAUCUUCUGGUUGCGGUACUCUUAUUUGUGCAGCAUAAUUCAAACCUACCACAUACUAUACAAGACUAACCAUUCUUUUUUUAUUGUAUGUUCUUUGUUUGACUAUUGUAAUUAACGAUCCAAUUAGUGGAUGUUGCGAACAGUUAAAAGAAUCGAAUACCAUAUUCUGAACAAUAUCUUGUGCGUAAUCGUGCCUUGUUAGCGGAUGCUGCAAAUAAUUAAGAAUCUAAUGCCAUAUUUUGUAAUUUACGUUGGGGAUCAAGUCUAAUGUUGAUCGAACAAAGCAUGUGGAGGUUAAUUGAUAUUUGUCAAAGAAAAUCUUAAAAGAAAGAAUGUGUUUAUACCGUUUGUGAAUUUAGAGGACCAGCAGGUUCAUGUUCUUACUCAGGUAGUAUCUAGUAAAGGUUUUUUUAGGACCCAAUUAUCACAUUGGGCAUCUAUGAUAUCUACGCACAACUUGAGGGGAGUGUUGAUUUGAGUCCUAAAUUGUAAAUAUUCUAGGAGUCCUAUUUUAGAUAGGAUGAAGAUUUGUUUAAUUGUAAUCUCUGUUGUAUUUAGUUUUCAUAUCCUUGUAAUUAUAUUCCUUAUAGAAUAAGGCAAACAUGCGUGUCAGGGCUGACUUUGAGAAUUUGGGGGCCCUAUGCAAAAGUCAAUUGGAGGCCUUAAAAAGUACUUAAGAAAAAGUACUUAAGAAUUUUAUUUUUUUAUUUUUUUGUUUGAAAAAAUAAUUUUAGUUUUCAUUUGAGUUUCUUUAAAUUCUAAUAGCACAAACAAAUUUAACAAAUCAACAAGUGGAAAGGUAGCGUAUUGUUUUUCCUUAACUAUUUAGAGGGUAAAGAUUUGAAUUUUCAUGUUAUUAUGUAGAAUUUUUAUAUUAUUUUGUGGAAACUUAUGCAUUUAAUAAAAAUAAACUAAAAAAAAGGAUGGAGACAAGUUUCAAACCCAUCACCUAAGCCGAUGUAAAGAAGCUGUAAUACCACUUGCUCUUAUACUCACGUUUAUAAUAUUAUACACAUACUGCUAUAUAUACGUAUAUACAUGCAAAUUUGAAAAAUCGGGAACCUUCCGAUUUGGGGGCCCUGUGUGGUGCCAUCACUUGCACCCGCUCUGGACCGGCCCUGAUGCGUGUAUAUUGUAAACCUUAAAUAAUAAAUGAAGUAACGAAGUAUUUUAUCGUAUUUCUUCUCUUUGUACGCGUUUUGUUGUAAAUCACCUAGGUCUAAUCUACAUGGAGGGAGUUUUUAACUUGGGUGCAACGGGACAUGCACGCAGCCUUGACCUAACCAUAAAAAAGAAUUAAAAUUGCAGAGUAAAGUUCAAGUGGCUGAACAAUGGUGUCAUUUAAUUUGUCCUCUGCUCUUUGGAAAUUUCAUUAAUACCCAAAACUGCUCAAAUAGUUUAGUAAAUGAUGUGCUUUGGAUUAUCAGAAACCUUCAAUUGUGAGUGGAUCGAACUUGGAAGCGAACCCAUGGAAAUGGAAAGCUAUCUUGUGAUGAAGAAUCAGAAGCUGGAAGCCUCCGGUAUUCUCAGGAAAGCUCUUAUAAUCCCUGCCAGAAACAUCAAAUUCUUAACUUUCACAAUCCUCACCUCCCUUCCUCUCUUCUGUUUCCUGAUUUACUAUGAAUCCCAUCUCCAGAAAAUCAUGGUUGAAACCUUGAAAACCCUAAACCUGCCGCCGCGUGAGGCCGGCAUGAACCGCUACUUGACUUACUUCAGGUUGAGUUGGUCCAUUCCAGUUGAGGUAUCCAGAAAAUUGAACCGAGAUUUUCCCAAUGAGUUAUUUUAUCUGGGGUUUCUCUUUGUGGUGCCUCUUCAUCUCCUCCAUUUCGUAACUGCGAUUCCGAUCGUUUACUUGGGAUCUAAGAUACACACAGAAGAGAGUCCAGUGAUGACUAUAAGAGAAAUGGUGAAAAAAACCUUUGACAAAACAAGGCUGAAGGGAACUUUUGUAACAUUUUCUUAUGUCCUUGUGUUGUCAAGUUAUACUCUGCUAGGGCUGACAUGGCUAGGAAUAACCUACUAUGCUGUCUUCCGAAACUUCAAUGAUUUCGAUGCUUUGUUCUAUGCUGUACUGUGUUGGCCGGCAUUUGUAGGGGUUGUGGUAAUGUAUUUGGCAUGGAGUUCUGUGUGGAAUGUGAGUGUUGUGAUUUCGAUACUGGAUGGGGCGGGCGGAAUCAAGCCGUUUGGUCAGGCGAUAUAUUUGAGCAGCGGAUGUGAGUGGAAAGGGUUUAGUUUGAUGCUCAUUUUCUUUUUCUGGGAAAUAAGUUUGAGGUUGCCUUGCCUCUAUUCCGGCUGCUACAAAAGCAGGAAUUAUUUUGGUGGUAUUAUUGCACAGGUUUGCUUGUUCUGCUUUGGGAAUGUGCUGAAGUGGAUUGUCUGCAUGAUAUAUUUCUACGAUUGCAAGAAUCGCGCGGUGGAGAAGAAAUUGAAGAUGCAGGCUAAGAAGAGAGGUGAAAGCAAUGGAUGAAUAUUCUGGUUUCUUGUAGCUCAAUUUGUAACUUUCAUUUGGUGGUUUUAAUGAAUGUAUUACUUGGAAAUGAAAUUGUGAAGAUGUUGCAACCCUUCAUAUAAUACUAUUGCAGUUUGGAUGCAUCCUUCCAUCAAAUUAUAUGUCUUUCUCUUUUACCAUAUUGAUAAGAAUUUGACAUUUUGCGGCGCCAUUGCUAAGGCAACUGUAUUAUCUCAUCGGAAUUUCAAAGCGUCCAACAAUCUACCGAAACAAAACCAGUAACCACAUUGCUGUUACACUGAAUUAUGUAUUACUGCAUUGUUGUUACACAGGGUAAGAAUUGGUAAAUUUUGGUUCUUCCACAAAGUAGGCCGACCUUUUUUCGUUAUCUUUUGUGAGCCAAGAGACAAAGUCAAGGAUAUAACAAACCAAUGGCCCCCUUUACAUGUGAAAAUUAACAACUUUGGGGCCAUGGUAGUAAUGUUGUAAUUAGUCGAGAAACAAAUGGGGUUGUUUCAAGAAGAGUUAAAAGCGCUUUCUGACAAUUAAAAGCGCUUUCUGACAAUUAAAAGCGCUUCGAAAUUUGGCAGAAAAACUUACAUAGAAAUGUUUUUGGGAUACAGAGUACUUCCGAGUGGCCUUUUUAGGAAGCACUUGAAUUUUAAUAAAAUUCUCAAUGUAUUUGUAUCAAAAGCACUUUCAGAAAAGAAAAACAAAAGUUUAUGAACAUAAGCAAUUCCGAACGAGACUUAAAGUUUAAGUCAAGUCUACCCUUGGCUCUCCUUCAAAUAUUCAAUAGGCUGAAAUCAUCAAGAAAGACUUUUUCUGUUGAUGGUGGUUGGGGUGGACUUGAGUCUUGACUUGGACUUUUCCGCAUUGCUAAUUGCAUCAAGAAAGACUUCAAAGACUUCAUGGUCAUUUAGAAAUUCACGGUUGUAUAUGAAACCGUGUGGAUUGAGCUUGGAAGUGAAAGCAAUGGAAAGCAACCUGUUGGAGAACAAUUCAGAAAUAAACAGAACUUGAAAUUCACAAUUUUAUUUCACAAAAGGUACUUGCUAUACAGAAUGAAAAGUAUACAAUAAAUACAGAAAUUAAUAUAAGAAUGUCAACGGUACUAACUUGAUUACAGAAGGUAAAGGCUAGCGUAAAAGCUAUGUCAUUCGAACAGUAAUUCCAAGGCACACUCUUGUGCUUGUGGUUCUAUAACGUCUGCUCGACCAGGAUACAACUACCUAAUCCUAUAACCCGCACUGGAUUAUAGAAUUCUAGCGAAUUGCUUUGUGUGUUUACUCUCUCUGGAAAGUUUGUACGGAAGAAAAGAAAGAAGAAAAGAUGAUUCAUUUGGAUACCAUGGAUUGCAGAUAUAUAGGCUGUUUCACACCCUUUCAAAUACCAGUUCAGUGUAUUUGAAGGUUCACAACUCUUUUCUAAGAGCUGUGUCUUUUAAUCAAAACGUUUUUAAUUAAUAAUAAAUUAAUUAAAAACUUAAUCCGAAAAUUAAAAUUAAUGAAUCAGAUUAAUUUUAAAUUCCAAGGCACACUCUUGUGCUUGUGGUUCUAUAACGUCUGCUCGACCAGGAUACAAUUACCUAAUCCUAUAACCCGCACUAGAUUAUAGAAUUCUAGCGAAUUGCUUUGUGUGUUUACUCUCUCUAGAAAGUUUGUACGGAAGAAAAGAAAGAAGAAAAGAUGAUUCAUUUGGAUACCAUGGAUUGCAGAUAUAUAGGCUGUUUCACACCCUUUCAAAUACCAGUUUAGUGUAUUUGAAGGUUCACAACUCUUUUCUAAGAGCUGUGUCUUUAAUCAAAACGUUUUUUAAUUAAUAAUAAAUUAAUUAAAAACUUAAUCCGAAAAUUAAAAUUAAUGAAUCAGAUUAAUUUUAAAUUCCAAGGCACACUCUUGUGCUUGUGGUUCUAUAACGUCUGCUCGACCAGGAUACAACUACCUAAUCUUAUAACCCGCACUGGAUUAUAGAAUUCUAGCGAAUUGCUUUGUGUGUUUACUCUCUCUGGAAAGUUUGUACGGAAGAAAAGAAAGAAGAAAAGAUGAUUCAUUUGGAUACCAUGUGUUUGUACCAUACUUGACCAAUCCCGAAACUACUGAGCACCGGUUAACGUUAUACCGUCAAGGACCCAGAAGAGCUUCCCUUUAACCAGGAGGCCAAUCACAACGCGACACGUGUCGACAUCAGAAGCCAAUCACAGCGCGACACGUGUCAACAUCAGAAGCCAAUCACAACAUGACACGUGUCAAUGUUAGAACAAAACUAGAAACUCUCUUCUAUAAAUAGGGAUCAUUAUCCCACAAUAAUCUCUAAUGUCAUUUUGUACUAAACUAUUCACUAGAACUCACAAAAUGAGAGCUUGAACCUAUGUAUUUGUGUAAACCCUUCACAAUUAAUGAGAACUCCUCUACUCCGUGGACGUAGCCGAUCUGGAUGAACCACGUACAUCUUGUGUUUGCUUCCCUGUCCCUAUUCAUUUACGUACUUAUCUUCACUAGUGAUUGAAGCAACCAAGCGAAGGUCACAAACCUGACACUUUCUGUUGUACCAAAGUCCUCGCUGAUUUUGUGCAUCAACAUUUGGCGCCAUCUGUGGGAAAGACACUUACUCCCACUCUCUUCAGCUUUGUUAAGCUGGUUUCCACCACUCGUACACUUUCUUUUGGCCAAACAUCUCUCUCCAACAUGGGGAGCGAAAGAAGCCAUAGCACACAGAAUGACACCCCCAUUGGACCUAGUAUGAAUCAACGAAAGCAGGAAGGAAAUAGAGUUACUCUUCAAGCUAAAGUCGAUGAGUUAGAAGCUCAGAACAACAAGAUAAUGAUAAGGAACGAGGUCCUCCAGGAGCAGUAUGAAAAACUUUUCGAGAUGCUUCACGAGGCUAGGCAUGCUCAAGCACACAAGCUCGUCGCCCCUGCUGAGGUCAACAAUCAUCUGAAUGCCCCCCAACACGGAGGGUCACCGAUAUCCAACACGGACAUCCCUGAUAGGGAUCGAGCUACACAUCAAUGUGAUAAUCAACAUGAGACUUCUCUCAACCAAGAUGCUUCAACCCGAAGCAGAAGGAGUAGAGGAAAGCACCUCCUCACAGAAGGAGUGGAAUGAUCAAAAGCCGUCUAUCGCGAUUGUCGAGACUUCCUAAAGCAACGUCGAGAGAAUCCCAUCCACAUAAGCUCGAAGAUCAAUGACCCAAGAGUUUUUGAAAUACUCGGUCCUCUCCCACGACCCAGGCCAGCAGUUAAUCUAGGGAAUGGGCAACAAGUCCCAGAAGAACAUGAAGGUACAGGGGACUCGGAAAUGUUCCGACAUACUCACUCUAGGAGUCAGUGUGACGAGUCCAAGGAAAAAUCAUGCUAUCUUGAUCAAACUUUCCUACUUCCAAGAAGCGAUGGGGACUUACGGAAGAAAACUUCAGUGAUGCACGACUCCACUCAGGACCCCCUCGUCCUACAGCUCCUGGAAGAAGUAAACAAGUUGAAGGCUGAACGUCAAGCCGAGAUACCUGACUGGAACCAACCCAGGCUUGGCCCCCUCACAAGAAGGAUCCUCAACACCCCCCUCAAAGCGAAGACAAAGUAGAAGCUUGACUUACAACUCUAUACUGGAAGGGAAGACCCGAUUGAACACCUUAACCUCUUUGAGUCCACCAUGGUAUACUGGAGACACACCGAUGAAGAACGGUGCCUUCUCUUCCCCUCCACCCUCUCUGGCGGAGCUUUAAACUGGUAUUGCCGUCUUCCACCCGAGACGGUAGACUCAUUUGAAGAGUUGAGGAAGUUGUUUGUCUCUCAACACAUCUUCCAGACCGAUCGCUUGCAUUCCGCAAAUGACUUGUACACUAUUCGCCAGAAGCCGGACGAGUCAUUACGAAAGUAUGCUGGCCGCUUCAGCCAUGAGUAUUCCCGCUGCGCUGAGGCAAAUGACAAGACCGCCUUCAAGGCCUUCACGGCAGGCUUACGUGACUGUUUCUUCAAGUACAUGAUCAAUGCCAACACUUGGAAGACUUACUCUGAGGUGAUGGCACAAGCUUACAACCAUGCCUCUACCGAGGCAAGGACAUAUCAAGGGAAACCCCCUACAGUCACCCCUUAUCAGCAAGUAGGGAGUGGAGGCCAGAUCCAACCGAAUGAAAAGACCUCAACCUUCCAAAUGGUAGCAGCACACCCCCCGGCCUCAUUUAAUGCUUCGCCAAGUCAGCAGACAUAUCAAUCCCAGGGCAAAAGGAAAGAUUUCCAUCCUCACCAAUCUCAUUUUAAUAAAAAGAAUAAGGGGCACUAUCGCGAUAACUCAGUAUAUCGUCACAAUAACACCCAUCCCCAGGCAGUCAACACAGUGGGCCAAUCGCGUGUCAAGACAGGCCCUACCCCGAGGUAUGAGACAUACACACCUUUGAACGCUACAUGUGCGGCCAUCAACCCAGUAUAGCUUACCUGUUACCAAAGCCAAAGCCAAGGCAGCCAGAUUACAAGUCCACGAAGAACACGGGCGUGUUUUGCUGCUACCACGAGUAUAAUGGCCAUGACGGCGAGAAGUGCAUCAUCCUCCGUGAUCAUAUCGAAGCUUUGGCACGUGAAGGAAAAAUUAAUCAGUUCCUCCUUCACCCUCUAAGGGAUAACCGUAACCAACGCCAGGUGAAUGUGAUAUACUCCAUAAGCGGCGGCACACCCAUGUCUGAAUCUUCCAAUAGGGCCAUGAAAAACAAUGAACGAACUUUGAGACAUGGCCAUCAAGUGUUUCACGUGGAAGACAUCAGGGGAGGCAAGUAUCAAAAACCUAAUUGGGAUCCAAUAUGUUUCUACCCUGAGGAAGAAAGAGGUAUCAUCUACCCUCAUAACGAUCCGCUGAUUGUGGAGGCUCACAUAGCAAAUUUUGAUGUGAAACGAAUCCUGAUAGACACAGGUGCUUCAGUCAAUAUCAUGUUUGCUGAAGCUUUCAAGGCACUUAAUGUAGCUGAACACUUGCUCGAUCGCUCGAUUUCUCCUAUGAUAAGCUUCUCUCGCGAUAUCGUGCAACCUUUAGGGAGUAUACACUUACCCUUCACCAUUGGUACAAGCCCCUACACAGCUACUAUUACCACUAACUUCCUAGUGGUCAAUUGCCCGACGGCAUACAAUGUCAUCUUUGGGCGCACAUGCAUCAAUGAUCUCAAGGCCAUGGUAUCCACACAUAUGUUGUUGAUGAAGUUUCCAACCCCUUUCGGCAAUGGAUACAUCAGGGGAGAUCAACUUAGUGCUCGAUCAUGUUACAACACUUCAGUUAAGCAACAACACCUGCCUGUCCUCAAGGAGACCCUCUCUAUACAUAACCAGGUAGUAAAGACCAGUCCAGAUGAAGCCAACUCGGAUCUUCAUGAUGGCAACAGUCAACCCGACGACCCUCGAGAUGACUCAUUCACCCAGCAAGCACAACCCGCUGAAGAGUUAGAGAAUGUCUCUAUCUCCAAAGACCAUCCAGAUCGCAUGGUGAAGAUUGGCACCACUUUGUCACCACCUAUUCGGUUGUCGCUGAUCUCAUUUUUACAAGAGAACGCCGAGGUCUUCGCUUGGUCAUAUAAAGAUAUGCCGGGCAUCUCUCCCGAUAUCAUCUGUCACCACUUGAGUAUUGAUCCCAAGACCAAACCAGUAAAACAGAAGCGAAGAUCUUAUGAUGUUGAACGAUACGAGGCGAUGAAAGCAGAAGAUGAAAAACUCAAGAACAUAGGCUUCGUCCGUGAAGUUAAUUAGCCAACAUGGGUAGCAAAUGUUGUCCUUGUUAAGAAAAAUCCGACCAAGGAAAGUCUCCUGCUUCAAAAGGUCUUGUAGAGAAUGUGUGUCGACUACACCGACCUAAACAAAUGAUACCCGAAGGAUAGUUUCCCCAUUCCUCUCAUUGAUAGACUUAUAGACUCUACGGCAGGGUGUGAGCUCUUGAGCUUCAUGGACGCUUAUUCAGGAUACAACCAAAUCCUCAUGAACCCCUCAGACCAAGAACACACAACCUUCACUACUGACAAGGGACUAUAUUGCUACAAAGUCAUGCCUUUCGGCCUAAAGAAUGCAGGAGCAACUUAUCAGAGACUAGUCAAUUUAAUGUUCGCCGAACAGAUUAGGAAGAGCAUGGAAGUUUACGUUGAUGAUAUGCUAGUCAAGAGCAAACAUGCUGACCAACACAUCACCAACCUAUCUGAAACUUUCACCAUUCUAAAGAGGUAUCGAAUGAGGUUGAACCCCAACAAAUGUGCCUUCGGCGUGGGAUCUGGCAAAUUCUUAGGCUUUAUGAUUAGCCAACGAGGCAUUGAAGCUAACCCCGAAAAGAUCAAAGCAAUCCUUGACAUGAAAGAGCUAGUAACUUCAAAAGACAUCCAAAGCCUUACUGGCAAGGUGGCAGCCUUAACCAGAUUCAUCUCUAAGGCCACAGACAGAUGUGCUCCUUUCUUCAAAGCACUCAAGGGAAAUAAGAAGUACAUUACAUGGACGGAGGAAUGUGCCAAGGCAUUCAGGAACCUCAAAGAGUACAUGAGUAAAGCCCCUCUGCUCUCCAAACCAGAAGUUGGUGACACUCUCAUUAUCUAUCUAUCGGUCUCGGCUUCAGCAGUCAGUUCUGUUCUUAUCCGAAAGGACAGUGGUGUCGAACGGCUCGUCUACUACGCUAGCAAGGCCCUACAAGAUGCGGAGACACGAUACUCCAACAUUGAGAAAUUAGCUCUAGCAUUGGUCAUGUCUGCUCGAAAACUUCGCCCUUAUUUCCAAGCACACGCCAUCAUCGUGCUUACCAAUCACCCUCUUCAACAGAUACUCUAGAGUCCUGACAUGUCUGGGCGAAUGAUCAAAUGGACAAUAACAUUGGGUGAGUUUGACAUCUCCUACCAACCAAAACCAGCCGAAAAGGGUCAAGCAGUAGCAGAUUUCAUCGCCGACUUCACAUAUCCUGUUGACAUUGCUUCUACACCUGAAGCAAUAGCUUCAUUACCAUCGGAAGCUCAGAAGAUAGAAUCAACAACCCCAACAUAGAGUCUGUAUGUUGAUGGCUCAUCCAACCAACAGGGCUGCGGAGCAGGAUUAGUCUUCACUACCCUUGACAAAGUGGCGAUAGAAUACGCUAUUCGUUUCAAAUUCAAGGCAUCGAACAACGAGGCCGAAUACGAAGCCCUUCUAGCAGGCUUACGUUUGGCCAAGCAUCUUGGAGUUAAACAAAUUGAUAUCUUCAGUGACUCCCAAUUAGUGGUCAACCAAGUCACGAACAACUUUGAUGCUAAGGAUAGCUCCAUGGCAGCAUAUCUUGCGCAAACACGACUUUUGCUCAAGCACUUCCACUACCAGAUCACCCAAGUUCCUCGAGCGGCAAACAGUCAUGCAGACGCUUUGGCCCGCCUCGCCUCGGCAGUGGAAGACAAGAUUGGGAGAAAAUUCAUGUUGAAUUGUUGGCAGCACCAAGCACCAUGGUCGCGGAAGUGUGCAAUUUACAACAAGGAGAUAGUUGGAUCACCCCAAUUUAUAAAUUCCUUGCCCAUGGCACCCUCCCAAAUGACAAAGUCCAAGCUAAGCAUAUUCGAUACAAGUCUGCUCGCUACCUGAUCAUUAAUGACCAACUCUACAAGCGCGGUUUUACCCUACCAUACCUAAGAUGCCUUACACCUGCGGAGGCAGAAAUUGUCCUUCGGGAAAUACAUGAAGGAGUCUACGGAGAUCAUGCUGGGUCUCGAUCCCUAGCACACAAGACUUUUCGCCAAGGAUACUAUUGGCCAACACUCCACUAAGAUGCCAUCAGAAUAUCUCGCUCAUGUGAUAAGUGUCAACGCUACGCAACCAUCCCUCACUCCCCUCCCGAGCCACUCAUUCCUAUGAUCAGCCCUUGGCCCUUGGCCUAAUAGGGACUUGAUUUGAUCGGCCCAAUGCCUGCAGGGAAGGGCAAGGUCUGUUAUGCAAUCGUUGCAGUUGACUACUUCACAAAGUGGGCUGAAGUAGAACCCUUGGCAACCAUUACUGAGGAAAAAAUAGAAGACUUCGUAUGGAAGAACAUCCUCUGCAGAUUCGGCAUUCCCAAUGCGAUAGUCACGGACAAUGGGCGGCAGUUCAACAACAAGAACUUCAGGAUGUUCUGCUCUAAGUUCAACAUCAACUUAUGUUUUACCUCUCCAGCCCAUCCCCAGUCUAAUGGACAAGUCGAUGCCGUUAACAAAAUAAUCAAGCGCACUCUGAAAACUAGCUUGGACAAAGCUAAAGGUUGUUGGCCAGAAUUCGUACCCCAAGUUCUUUGGUCAUACCGCACUUCAUAUCGGACUUUCACAGGAGAAACUCCAUUCUCACUUGCUUUUGGUACAGAAGCAGUUGUCCCGGUUGAGCUUGAGCAAGCAACAUACCGAAUCCAAACUACAUGCAGAGUGAAAAUGACAACCAAUUCACCCUCAACCUGGAUCUAGUCGAGGAACACAGAAAUCAGGCUCACCUGAGGAAUGUCGCCUACAAGCAGCGCAUCUCCAACUACUACGACUCAAGGGUCAAACCUCGCUCCUUCAAAGUGGGAGAUUGGGUACUGAAGAAAAGAUUACUCUGUGAUAGAGUCCCGAGUGAAGGAACACUCAGUCCUAACUGGGAUGGACCGUUCGAGGUCGUCGGCAUCAGCCGCCUUGGCUCCUACAAGCUCAGAAGCUCCGACGGCAAGACCCUUGGCCAUCCAUGGAAUGCUGACCACUUGAAGUACUAUUACAAAUAGACUCACAUUGUACAAGUGUUAAGCUACAGCCGUUCGGCAUCCUAUGUAACAAAGACCAUUUGGUAUGAAUUCAAUAAAGAGGUGAUUUAGCCAACUCGGCCCUAAACUCUUUUACAUUCCGAGCAAUGAAACACUCAAGUGUUGAAGCUUCAACGUAAAUGUUUCCAAUACAAAACAAAAUCUAAGUAUGUGUCAAUAAGACUAUACAAAUGAUCUACAUCAUACAUUCCAACACAUUCAUACAUAAACAUCAUACAUUCCAAUACAUUCAUACAUAAACAUCAUACAUUCCAACACAUUCAUACAUAAACAUCAUACAUUCCAACACAUCCAUACAUAAGCCAACUGUGCUUCGAAAGGGUUCAACACACUUUGUGUCAUUCAACAUUUGCCACAAUGUGCCUCGACACCUUGCCUUUAUUCUCACCAACUAGGUGAUGAAGGAACUCACCUUCGUGCCACCAACUAGGUGAUGAAAUGUACAACCCGUACUCUAAUAUUAUUUGGAAACUUGCCACCCUUAUCACCAAUCAGGUGAAGAAGGAACUCAUCUUCAUGCCACCAACCAGGUGAUGAAAUGUACAACACGUACUCUCCUUCAUGCCACCAACCAGGUGAUGAAAUGUACAACGCGUACUCUCCUUCAUGUCACUAACCAGGUGAUGAAAUGUGAUGAAAGGUGAUUAAGGAAUUCACAUUCGUACCACCAACCAAGUGAUGAAAGAAACCCACCAUUCAUUCCACUAACCAGAAGACGAGUGGUACAACUUGUACAUGUGAACUCCUAGCAUUCACAAAUAAUCAAAAACCCUCAAGCUUUACAACUCAACUAGGGGAGCACUUAUGCCUAACAAGAGCUAUAGUCACCAACAAAGUCUUAUUGCAAGCCAACAAUGGCUUCAGGGCUUGGUAUACGAAGAUCAAGCUCUUCAGCCCUCUUGCAUCUGCUUCAAACAUUUCUCCUCUGUAACAAUGCAAACACUACAACUCAUAGAAAGCUUCACACGCUCUUGAUCAAGACUGUUCAAAACAAAUUCAAUUUAUAUGGUUCAUCCAAACCUUCGACUACUACAAGAUGUGGCUUGCAUCACAAUCUCUCACUCAACAAUGUGGAAGCAAAAUUUGUAUACGUUGUCUCUCCCACAUUUUCAAAUUUCUAGUUUUCCCAAAAAAAAAAAAAAAAAAAAAGAGGAAAUUGGAAAUUGGGAAAUUCAACAAAGCUUCAUCAAUGGAGGACAAAUAUCAAUCUCAAAAGCUUCGCACUAUCUUCAUCAAGAUAGUGUGAAGCAAAAUCAAUUUAUGGUGCCAACAAAAGCUUCAUCAAUGGAGGACAAAAAUAUCAAUCUCAAAAGCUUCACACUAUCUUCAUCAAGAUAGUGUGAAGCAAAAUCAAUUUAUGGUGCCAACAAAAGCUUCAUCAAUGGAGGACAAUAUUCAAUCUCAAAAGCUUCGCACUAUCUUCAUCAAGAUAGUGUGAAGCAAGAUCAAUUUAUGGUGCCAACAAAAGCUUCAUCAAUGGAGGACAAAUAUUAAUCUCAAAAGCUUCGCACUAUCUUCAUCAAGAUAGUGUGAAGCAAAAAUUCAUUUAAGUUCAACAAAAGUUUCAAACUAUAAAGCUUCAACAUUCAAAGCUUACACCUAAGACUUCAACACCAAAAGCUUCACUAUUGAAAAGCUUCAACCCCCAAAGCUUCACAAAGCUAGUCUAGUGUGAAGCUUCAACACCAAAGCUUCACCUACAAAGCUUUAAAAUUAAAUAAUAUUAUAUAUAUAUAUAUAUUAUUUUUAAUUUUUAUUUUUUCAGAAAUUCGAAAAUUCAAAAAUCCGGAAAUUUGAAAAUUAAAAAAAAAAAAAAUUGCCUAGGCCUCAUCUUCUUUGGGCCUAACAACUUUCAUAACAAAUAUAUAUGAAGAAGGAGUUUUGGGCUACCACUUAGAAAGGAAAUGCCUCAUUCGUCAACUCCCUCGACCAGAGACUUGGGGGACUCCUACCAUAUGAUAUUGCACCUUGAUACUCAGAAGUCUCACGACCACUUAGUGACUUGGAUUUUUCAAGUCUCCAAACGAGAAGUUUUCCUCACUCGGG